rnacentral:lncRNA from 1 species
UUUUUUUUCUCUUUUUCGAGGUCUAUGCGGACGACCCGCUUGAAGAACACACCAAGGAGGCAAGGAGCUUUGGCAUACAAGGGAAUCCCCAGGUGGUCUCUACUAAACGAUUGCCAUACUUGUUUUACAUACCCGCACGCAGCUCGCUCUUGGUUGCGGCAUGUUAAAUAGCUUUACUUGCUUAUCGCCUUACUUGCACAAAGUACGCUCCGACGUACUAAUUACAUCACAAUGGUGAAUAAAUGGUGGCGUCAGCUUAUUACUUAAUUUUCCUGUUUCCUCACCUUUGUACAUAUUACUCAUUGCACACGUACACCAUGGUACGUAUUACUACGCCAGGGGCUUCAUUACACCCCGCAUUACGGCAAUAAAAGUCCGAACACUUUUCCAGUAUAGUUCGGCACCCCGAACUUAUAACAUUAUAUGCAUCGGCUUCGAAUCAUGUCUUUGGUCAAUAGUUGGGUUGCCCGGCUCAUGUGCUUACUACCUUACGUUCCGCUAUAUCGACUAGGGUAGUAAAGGGAGAACAACUGCGAUUGUGUCCCGGUUCUUCCGGACGAGCACCUCAGUAGAGAAAGCUGAAAACUGACUGUCAAGAUGCGGGGAGAGCUGGUCAGCUGUUCGAGAGGUUUCCAAAUCGUUAGAGAUUUUUUCCGCUUCUUGCGAAGAAUCGGUUCCUCCGAUUAGGCGUGUACAACGCCCCUAGUUUGGCCUUCCGAAUACCAGGGGCUUUGCCAACUUUCUUAAUUGUAAAACUCCUAUGGCUAAGUGAGGGCCGUAAAGGCCGCAUAGCCUGAUUGCCUUGUUCGUUGCGCUAAACACCUCCUUUAAGGACCAGAAUGUGGAGUAAAGAGUGUUUAGAUUUAUCCCAAACACCCCCAUACUAUCUACGUGGGGGCAGAAGCCGACGACUGGUCAACCCUCAGAUUUCAUAAACGGCCGCACAGGAGGCAAAAUGUCAAUCACAAGCAUUAUAAUACGUAACAUCAUUGUUCCAUAUUACAGGACAUGAUAAUACAAAUGUUCUCAUGGGAAUAUGACAUCCUUCGAACAUUGCUCCGCCACAAGGCGGGACCCCUCCAGGACACCAUCAAAAUAGAGCUCGGGUCGACGAUGCUCCUUGCCCUCCGGUGGCUCCUCGGUCAUCAGCUUCUUGGCGUCCAGCUUUGCCCAAUGCGUCUUGACGCGGGCAAAUGCCAUACGCGCACCUUCAUUACAGACCGACUGCUUCACGGCUUUGAGCCGCGGACAGGCAUUUACAAGCCGCUUAACAAGUCCGAAGUAGCUGCUAGGUAUAGGCUCGGCAGGCCACAGCCGGACUAUCAGGUUCUUCAUGGCUAGCUCUGCCGACCUGUGCAGCUCGACCAAUUGCUUUAGCUGGUCGCUGAAGGGCACCGGAUGUUCGGGUUCAAGAUAUUGGGACCAGAAUAGCUUCUCCGUAGACAUCCCUUCUUCGGCUCUAUAAUGCUCGGCAGCAUCCGAUAUACUACGCGACAGAUCCGUAAACGCCCCUAGAAAACCCAAAUUCGGAUAAGUACAAGGAACGUUUCUUCUACAUACUUGCUUUGCAUGGUGAAAGACUAACCCGCCGCAAUCUUCUUGGCCGCCUGAAUUUCCUGGAGGGCGUUCUUGGCUUCGGCUCAUGCAUCCUGUGCGCUCUGGCGGGCCUUUGCCAGUUCGGACUCUUGCGCCUUACAAUCGCGCUCCAAGGACUCAAAUCUCUCGAUCGCGCACUGGAGCUGUUGCUGCGCCUCGCCAAACCGGGCCUCGUGCUUCUCGCGGGCGGCACGUUCCUUGGCCGCUUUGUUCUCGGCCUCGGCUAUUGCCUUCUUGAGGGCUGCCACCUCGGUCGUGGCCCCUAAUAAAGUUUAUGACACCUUAGUCCGGAUGGACUAUUCAUUUUUUCUUAAAAUGUACCCGCAGGUUACUGCAUACCUUGGCUAUCCUCCAGCUGCUUCCUCACAAGGCCGAGCUCCUCCUCGGCCCGCUCCAGUUUCCGCUUCAGUUCGGAGACCUCCACAGCAUGAGCGGUGGCAGCCUGCAGCGAUACCUGCUUAUUCACAUAGACAACUUAUGUUAGACUCCUACGAUAUUUCUUCUUGAUCCUCUGUUCGGCUUUUUCUUCCCGAACACCUAACAGAGCAUUAGGGGCUACUGUCUAUACGGUGAUAUUUUUCCUACAAACUCAUUACUUACCUCAAAGCCCGAUAGAAGGCUAGUGCAGGCUUCGGUCAGUCCGCUUUUGAUGAACUGAACCUUCUCUAUUACCGUGCCCAUAAGGGCGCGGUGUUCAUCCACAAUAGAGGCGCCUCGUAGCACCUCCAGUAGAUUAUCCGGUGCCUCUGGUUGGACAGAGGUCACCGGCGGAACAGGCACGUUCCCUCCUUUUGGGGAAUGCCAUUCGCUGGACUCCGGAGCCGCAUAGAUCUCCGGAAUGGUAUCCGGCUCAGGUCCGAAGGGAGCUCGGCCCCUGUCACAAGUCCCCAUAGGGGCUUUUUCCCCCAUGUGUCUGGUGACUGAGGAAUCGUCCUGGGGCGCCACCCCGACGAUCUUCGGAGGCUCCCCCCGGUCGGGGAAGGUCUUUUGUGACACCACCUCGUCGUCACCCCUGGGAGAGACGGAAUGCGCAGGUGGCGGAGACAUGCUAGCCAUCUCCUUCGAGUCUAGCGAUCCCUCUGACGAAGAUCGCGGGGAGCCAUCGCGUGCCGGACUGCCAUGACAAGGUUUGAGACAUAUCAAUAUUACAAAAUCGGGAAAGCCAGACAUUUUCGGAUUCUAGUACUUACGAGGCGGCCCGAGGCUUGGUCCGACGAGGUCGCUCUGGACUGCUAUCAACAUCCCACGUGGGGUUAUCCGCGAGGGAGCCUUUAACCCUCUUAGACGCUUCCGCCUCCGGGUUUGUGGGGGCCGCUCUCUUCCUCCUCCCCACUUCAGGUGGGGAGUCGUUUUCUUCUUCCUCUUCGUCGUCGUUGUCAGCGGACAAAGAGGAAGUCUCGCUUUCGGACGUCACGUCCGGAGCGCCUUUUCGGCGAAGGCCCUUCUUGGCCCCUUUGGCCGCCUUCUUGGCCGUCUUCUCCAGCACCUCGUAAGGUUUAGGGAAAAGCAUUCUCGUCAGUAAUGGGAAUUCUUGGUCUUCGGGCAGCGGAGUCAGACAGUUGAUCUCCUCUGCUACCUUGAUCCAGGCCUGAAAACAGGGGAAGGAAAGCUUAGGCAUUCUCUCAAAAUAUGCUAGUAGAGGGUACUCCUUGAAAACAUUAAAAGAACUUACCGAGUUAGCCUGGCGUUUUAAGCUAAGCCCGCGAUCUUCGGUCGUAGGCGGUAGCGUCUCGCCGGCCUUGAAGAGCACUUUCUAGAUUUCUUCGUGCGUCAUGCCGAAGAGCUCUAGUAGCGUCUGGUGCUUGGCCGGAUCGAACUCCGACAGAUAGCAAGUCUGGCGUUGGCACGGAAGGACCCGACGAAUGAGCAUGACUUGGACCACGUUGACGAGCUUGAUCUUCCUAUCUAUCAUAUUCUGGACGCACGUCUGGAGCCCAGACAGCUCGUCCAAGGGACCCUAGGUUAGGCCCCUCUCUUGCCAGGAGGUGAGCCGCAUCGAGAUUCCGGAUCGAAAUUCGGGGGCCGCCGCCCAGUUGGCGUCGCGCGGCUCGGUGAUAUAGAACCACCCUGAUUGCCACCCCUUCACCGUCUCCGUGAAUGUGCCUUCGGGCCAGGUAACAUUGGGCAUCUUGCCCAGCAUGGCGCCUCCGCACUCUGCUUGUUGGCCGCUCACCACCUUUGGCUUCACAUUGAAGGUCUUCAACCAUAGGCCAAAAUGAGGCGGGAUGCAGAGAAAGGCCUCGCACACGACAAUGAAUGCCGUGAUGUUGAGAAUGAAGUUAGGGGCUAGGUCAUGAAAAUCUAGCCCGUAGUAAAACAUCAGUCCACGAACGAAGGGGUGAAGAGGGAAGCCCAGCCUGCGGACGAAAUGUGUAAGAAACACAACCCUCUCGUGGGGCUCAGGAGUAGGGACGAUCUGUCCCUUGGCCGGGAGUCUGUGGGCGAUCUCCUUGGCCAGAUAUCCGGCCUCCCGGAGCUCCUUGAUAUCCCUCUUCGUAACAGAGGAGGCCAUCCACUUGCCUCCAACCCCAGAUCCGGACAUCUUUGGGGUGCUCUCUCGGACAGGGGAAAAGCUAAAGACUUGGGGCUGGAGCUCAGGGACGGAAGGGCUGAGGAGGAACCGAGGUGUGGGUGAAGAAAGGGAAUUCUUAUCCCCUUAUAGAGGCCAUGAAUAUCAAGCGCCUCCCCACUCGCCUAUUUCCAAGGGUCGUGCGAACGGCACGGUUGGGUCACCUACGCCCGCAUUGAUGAGAAUCCCGCAAUAAGGGGACACGGUCUCUGCUUCGAUAGGACGUGCCAAUGGCAACCGCGUCUCAAAAUGUGGAGCGGCAGACGAAAAACAGUUCGAAAAUUGUGACUGGUCCGGCGUGAUGUCGCGCUGCAAAAAAUUUGUCAGCGGAUGGAACUCGUGUAAAAAUAUGUUCUCUCUACGGUUGUGUAUGGUGUGUGUGACAGGUCCGGAUACUAUCAUCGCAUCCGAAGACUAUCUUGGAGUUCGGAAAAAGGGAACCCGCCUUGCAAUGUCGAAGACAAUCUGCGCGCCGGACUCCUCAUCAUUGAAGCCAGGUUCAGGGGCUACUGAGGGAGUCCUGGACUAGGGGGUCCUCGGGCGUCCGGCCUGUUAUCCAUCGGGCCGGACUGAUGGGCUGUGAAGACAUGAAGGCCGAAGACCGUACCCAUGUCUGGGUUGGACUCUACUUGGCGUGGAAAGCAAGCUAAGCGACCGAUUAUGAAGAUCCCUUCUUAUGUAACCGACUCUAUGUAAACCCUAGAUCCCCCCGGUGUCUAUAUAAACCGGAGGGGUUAGUCCGGAAAGGACAUACACAUUACCAUAGUCAUAUAGGCUAGACUUCUAGGGUUUAGCCAUUACGAUCUCGUGGUAGAUCAACUCUUGUAAUACUCAUAUUCAUCAAGAUCAAUCAAGCAGGAAGUAGGGUAUUACCUCCAUAGAGAGGGCCCGAACCUGGGUAAACAUCGUGUCCCCCGUCUCCUGUUACCGUCGAUCCUAGACGCACAGUUCGGGACCCCCUACCCAAGAUCCGCCGGUUUUGACACCGACAACCAUCAUCACCGAAGGCCGUGGAGGAGGAUCCCGGAGGGGCCAUCAUCACCAUGAAGGCCAAGGACUAGAGGGAGAACCUCUCCCCAUCUAGCGGGGAGGCCAUGGAGGAGGAAGCACAAGGGGGAGAACCUCUCCUCCUCUCUCUCGGUGGCGCCGGAGUGCCAUCGGGAGGGGAAUCAUCACCGCGGUGAUGGUCUUCAUCAACAUCACCAUCAUCUUCACCAUCCUCAUCUCUUUUACGUGGUCCACUCUCCCGCACCCCGCUGUAAUCCCUAUUUGAACAUGGUGCUUUACACCACAUAUUAUGAUCCAAUGAUGUGAUGCCAUCCUAUGAUGUUUUGAGUAGAUAUCCUUUGUCUUUGGGUUGAUUGAUGAUCUAGAUUGGUAUGAGUUGUAUGUUUUAUUUUGGUGCUGUCCUAUUGUGCCCUCCGUGUCGUGCAAGCGUGAGGGAUUCCCACUGUAGGGUGUUGCAAUACGUUCAUGAUUCGCUUACAGUGGGUUGCUUGAGUGAUAGAAGCAUAAACCCGAGUAAGGGGGUUGUUGCGUAUGGGAUAAAGGGGACUUGAUGCUUUAAUGCUAUGGUUGAGUUUUACCUUAAUGAUCUUUAGUAGUUGCGGAUGCUUGCUAGAGUUCCAAUCAUAAGUGCAUAUGAUCCAAGAAGAGAAAGUAUGUUAGCUUAUGCCUCUCCCUCAUAUGAAAUGGCAAUGAGGACUACCGGUCUUGUUAACGAUUGCCUAGGAUAAUUCAACACCGACCCAUCAUUAUUCCACACUCGCUAUUUAUAAUAUUUAGUAAUAUAUUCUAACUUUAUGAUAACAACACCUACUUUUAUGUUUUAGCUCUCCGAUAUCAUGCAAAGUUAUCCUCUUCAUACCCACAACGUAGUUUUAUUUCUCGUUUCUAGUUGGAAGCAAACGUUUGGUGUACGUAGAGUCGUAUCAGUGGUAGAUAGGACUUGAGAGAAUAUUGAUCUUACCUUUAGCUCCUUCUGGGUUCGACACUCCAUACUUAUCACUUCCACCAUUGGGAAUUGCUAUGAUGAUUCCCUGCACUUGGGCAUUAUCAAACUCUUUUCUAGCGCCGUUGCCGGGGAGUUAUAGCGUGGGGUUGAUAUUUUCGUGUAUGCUUGUUUGCUUUCUUCACUAAGUAGUUUUUGUUUUCCCUUUUUAGUUUUGCUUAGUUGUGGUUGAAACAUACAAUUUUUUUAAGAAUGAAAAUACAAAAAAAUUACUUGCCUCUCAUGCCUAAAAAGUUUUUCAAUAAGAGAAGUGAUUGGAAGGUUACGCAUUGGAGAAGUGAGGGUCGACCUUGAACACUUGUGUUCAUGCUCAUGGAAACAAUGUAAAUUUUCAUGGAAUCUUCUCUGAAAAUAAUUAUCCCCUUGUAUAUACCCAUUGCAUUAUAAAAAUAACGUGCCAAGCUUCGGUUUUAGGAUGAUUAGAUUGCUUGUUUACUAUGUGCAGUACAAAAACAGAAACUUUGGCUUUAGCGCGUGAAUUUACAUUUUUUCCUGGAAAGUCAAAUGGGUCUGAAACAUUUUGCACAUUACUUAUGUAGAAAUUUUUUAAAUUUUCAUAUUUUUUAGAAUUUUUUGGAGUUACAGAAGUUUACUAAACUUCCAGAUUACUACAGACUGUCCUGUUUUUGACAGAUUCUGUUUUCUAUGUGUUGAUCGCUUAUUUUGAUGAAUCUAUGGGUAGUAUCGGGGGGUAUGAACCAUGGUGAAGUUGGAAGACAGUAGAUAUAGUUCUAAUAUGAAAUUGGAAUGAGUUUGCAACAAUACCUAAAGGUAGUGAUUUGCUUUAUUAUACUAACGGAUCUCACAAAGUUUUUGUUAAAGUUUUGUGUGGAUGAAGUGUUCAAAGAUCGAGGACCUAUCAAUAUGAGAAGAAUAAAGAGAGGCAAGAGUUCAAGCUUGGGGAUGCCCCGGUUGGCAUCCCAUCUUUCUUCUUCAACAAUUAUCGAUAUACCUCGAUUUUUGUUUUGUUCACAUGAUUUGUGUCCUUUGUGUUUUUGUUUUUCCUUUAAGAACCAGGCUAGUAUGAUAUAGCCCUUAAUUUAUUUAUAGAAUGCUUCAUGUGCUUCACUUAUAUCUUUUAAGUAUGAUCUUAUAGAAUUGCUCUUUGUGCUUCACUUAAAUCUUUUGAGUAUGGUUUUAUAGAAUGCUUCAUGUGCUUCACUUAUAUAUUUUGAGCUUGGAUAUUGGCUAUUCUAUAUUAAUUGUAGAAUUCUCCAUGAACUUCACUUAUAUCUUUUGGAGUAUGAAUAAUACUAUAAUCUAAAGUGGGGUUGGAAGAGUGUCAACUUUAGGAAUUAGUGAUCCCACUAUUUUGGAGGGUGUUGAAUCUUAGUGUGAUAUUUAUGAAAGUGGAUUUGGAAGAGUGUCAACUUUAGUUAGUGAUGAUUCCACUAUUUCGGAAGAGGUUCCAAUUGAUUAUGAGAACAAAGCUGCUAUCUAUGAUGAUUAUUGUGAUGACAUGUAUGCUAUAAAGAAUCAUGUUAACCAUGAAACUUGUCAUCAUGAUUUUAAUUUUCAAUUGGAUUAUGCCUCACAUGACAGUUAUUUUUUGAGUUUGCUCCCACUAUUCUGAAUGCUCGUAGAUCAUGAAAAGAAUGCUUUAUGUGAUGGUUAUUUUGUUGAACCCAUUCAUGAUGCUACUGAAAAUUAUUAUGAGGGAGGAAUACAUGCUUGUAGGAGUUACAAUAAUAUCAAGUUUCCUCUCUAUGUGCUUAAAGUUUUGAAGUUAUACUUGUUUUUCCUUCCUACGCUAGUUGAUUCUUGUUCCUAUAAAUUAUGUGCUCACAAAAUCCCUAGGCAUAGGAAGUGGGUUAGGUUUAAAUGUUCCAGUCAUAUUCUUCAUGAUGCUCUCUUUAUGUUUCAAUUCUUAUCUUUUAUGUGAGCAUCAUUGAAAUCAUCAUGCCUAGCUAAAAGGCAUUAAAGAAAAGCGCUUGUUGGGAGACAACCCAAUAUUUACCCUUACUGUUCUUGUGUGUUCACAUGAUUAAGAUACAGUAUUAAUCAUGUUUUAUAGCUUUUGUUUCAAUAAAGUGCCAAGUAAGACCUUUGGGAAGACUUGGGUGAAAGUUAAUGUGAUCUUGCUGUAAAAAAUAGAAACUUUGCGCUCACGAGAUUAGCUGUCAUUUUUUUACAAAAGAGUGCUUUUGAGUUGAUUCUUUUUGCAUAAGAUUAAUAGAAAAAUUCCUCAUGUACACCUAUUUAUUUCAUAAUUUUUGGAGUAGCAGAAGUAUGGUUUCUGUUCAUAUCAUUACAGACUGUUAUGUUUCUGACAGAUUCUGUUUUCGUUGCAUAGUUUGCUUGUUUUCUAGUUCCUAUGGCUUAUAUUUCUCAAUAUAAAUUGUAGAAAUGAUAUAGUGCAGUAGGCAUUGUGUGAGAACAAUUAUGAACCUUGUCUUUGACAGUACCAAAGUGAAUGGUUUACUCUUUAUCAUACUAACCUAUCUCACGAAGUUCCGUUAAGUUUUGUGUGAUUGAAGUUUUCAAGCUUUGGGUGAGAUAUCGAUAUGAGGAGAAUAAGGAGUGGAAAGACCCUAAGCUUGGGAUGCCCAAGGCACCCCAAGGUAAUAUUCAAGGAAGACUCAAGCGCCUAAGCUUGGGGAUGCCCCGGAAGGCAUCCCCUCUUUCGUCUUCAAAACUAUCGGUAUACCUUACUCGGAGCUAUAUUUUUAUUCGUCGCAUGAUAUGUGUUCUGCUUGGAGCGUAUUUUCAAUUUUACUUCCUGUUUGAAUAAAAUCAUUGGAUCUGAAAUUUUGAAUGAAAAAGACUCCUCCCAUGGCUAGUUAAUUAUUUGACUACUCAGUGUUCUUCACUUAUAUCUUUUGGAGUAGUUUGUCAUUUACUCACGCGCUUCACGUAUAUCCUAUGAUUAAAUGGUUGAAUGAAUUGAAUAUCAUAAAUCUGAAUUUAUAUAUGUUUCAUAUGCUUAUACCAUGGGGAGUAAUGACUUCACACAUAAUAAGUAUAGGUGGUAAAUUUCUUGAAAGUUAGCAAACACAGAAUUGGUCACUUGAACAAUUCAUGAAAGAAUAUUAAAGGAAGAGAGAUUUCACAUAUAAAUACACUAUCUUGGACAUCUUUUGUAAUUGUGAGCACUCAUUAAAAUAUGACAUGCUAAAAGGUUGAUGUUGGACAAGGAAGAUAGCUUAAUGGGUUAUGUUUUCAUAUAUCCAAAACGUUAUAUUGUCUUGGAUCAUCCAACAUGUUGAGCUUGCCUUUCCCUCUCAUGCUAGCCAAAUUCUUUGCACCAAGUAGCAAUACUACUUGUGCUUCCAAACAUCCCUUAAACCAGUUUUGCCAUGAGAGUCCACCAUACCUACCUAUGGAUUGAGUAAGAUCCUUCAAGUAAGUUGUCAUCGGUGCAUGCAAUAAAAAUUGCUCUCUAAAUAUGUAUGAUCUAUUAGUGCGAAGAAAAUAAGCUUUAUACGAACUUGUGAUAGGGAAGAGCGACAGACUGCAUAAUAAAGGUCUUUAUCACAAGCGGCAAUAUAAAGUGACGUUCUUUUGCAUUAAGAUUUUGUGCAUCCAACCAUAAAAGCGCAUGACAACCUCUGCUUCCCUCUGCGAAGGGCCUAUCUUUUACUUUUAUCUUCUACCCUUAUACAAGAGUCAUGGUGAUCAUCACCUUUCCUUUUUACACUUUUUCCUUUGGCAAGCACUUUGUGUUGGAGCGAUCCAGAUAUAUAUAUCCACUUGGAUGUAGGUUUUCAUAAAUUAUUAUUGUUGAUAUUACCCUUGAGGUAAAAGGUUGGGAGGCGAAACUAUAAGCCCCUAUCUUUCUCUGUGUCCGAUUAAAACUUUGAACCCAUAAAUAUCACAUGAGUGUUAGAAAUUGUGAAAGAUUAAAUGAUAGUUGAGUAUGUGGAGUUUGCUGAAUCAAAGCUCCUACAUAGACCCUUCCCGAAAAUAAUAUGAAUUGCAAUUGUUUGAUGACUAAGAGCAUGGUUUGUUAGUUUUCAAGGAAGUUUAUGAUCUAUACUUUAACAUGUGAAUAGCUUGUUACUUGAUCAUGAGAAGUUUUAUGAGUUGAGAUACUGUUAUGAUAUAUAAUGAUGCUAUAAAAAGUGAUUGGAACUAUCAUUGAUCAAACUUAUGCACUUGCUAGCAUUCACACUUCAUAAAUUAUUCCUUUUAUCAUCUACCUACUCGAGGACGAGCAGGAAUUAAGCUUGGGGAUGCUGAUACGUCUCCAACGUAUCUACAAUUUAUGAAGUAUUCAUGCCAUGUUUAAAAUAGUUUUAUAUGAUUUUGGUAUGAUUUGAUUAGAACUAACCCGGACUGACGCUGUUUUCAGUAGAACUACCAUGGUGUUGUUUUUGUGCAGAAACAAAAGUUCUCGGAAUGCGAUAAUUUUUCUGGAAAAUAUAAAAAAUACUAGAACAAAGAGUUACCGGUGGGGAGGCCCGCGGGAUCCACGAGGGUGGAGGGCGCGCCCACCCCCCUAGGGCGCGCCCCUGUGCCUCGUGGACUUCCCGUGGGGCCCCCUUACUUGUUCUCGACGCCAACCUCUCCUAUAAAUACCCAAACCUCCAGAAAAUAACCUAGAUUGGAAGUUCCGCCGCUGCAAGCCUCUAUAGCCACGAGAAAUUAAUCUAGGCCCUCUCUGGCACCCUGCCGGAGGGGCCAUCAUCGCCAUGAAGGCCAAGGACCAGAGGGAGAACCUAUCCCCAUCUAGCGGGGAGGCCAUGGAGGAGGAAGCACAAGGGGGAGAACCUCUCCUCCUCUCUCUCGGUGGCGCCGGAGUGCCAUCAGGAGGGGAAUCAUCACCGCGGUGAUCGUCUUCAUCAACAUCACCAUCCUCAUCUCUUUUACGCGAUCCACUCUCUCGCACCCCGCUGUAAUCCCUACUUGAACAUGGUGCUUUAUGCCACAUAUUACGAUCCAAUGAUGUGAUGCCAUCCUAUGAUGUUUUGAGUAGAUAUCCUUUGUCUUUGGGUUGAUUGAUGAUCUAGAUUGGUAUGAGUUGUAUGUUUUAUUUUGGUGCUGUCCUAUUGUGCCCUCCAUGUCGCGCAAGCAUGAGGGAUUCCCGCUUUAGGGUGUUGCAAUACGUUCAUGAUUCGCUUACAGUGGGUUGCUUGAGUGACAGAAGCAUAAACCCGAGUAAGGGGGUUGUUGCGUAUGGGAUAAAGGGGACUUGAUGCUUUAAUUCUAUGGUUGGGUUUUACCUUAAUGAUCUUUAGUAGUUGCGGAUGCUUGCUAGAGUUCCAAUCAUAAGUGCAUAUGAUCCAAGAAGAGAAAGUAUGUUAGCUUAUGCCUCUCCCUCAUAUGAAAUUGCAAUGACGACUACCGGUCUUGUUAACGAUUGCCUAGGAUAAUUCCGCACACCGACCCAUCAUUAUUCCACACUCGCUAUUUAUAAUAUUUAGUAAUAUAUUCUAACUUUAUGAUAACAGCACCUACUUUUAUGUUUUAUCUCUCCGAUAUCAUGCAAAGUUAUCCUCUUCAUACCCACAAUGUAGUUUUAUUUCUCGUUUCUAGUUGGAAGAAAAUGUUCGGUGUACAUAGAGUCGUAUCAGUGGCAGAUAGGACUUGAGAGAAUAUUGAUCUUACCUUUAGCUCCUUGUGGGUUCGACACUCCAUACUUAUCACUUCCAGCAUUGGGAAUUGCUACGAUGAUUCCCUGCACUUGGGGAUUAUCAAGUCCGGUUUUGGAUCCGAUAACCCGUUAACACCAACGACCAAUGGCGAUUUUCCACAUGUAAAAUUCUCAUUGGCCGAAGGAACCAUGUGUAAGCUCCGCGUUGGGAUAGAUGUCAUCCACCGAAUGGACGGGACGCGCCUAUGAUACAUAGACACAUGGCUCAGCCUAACAGUGGCCCAUUUAGGUUAAAAGGCUGGUCCCUUUGACUUGGUCAAAGGGAAUCAGACUGGCCCAAGAAAAGCCUAUUAACGGUGUGUAUAGCCCAGUUACAUACUACCUUUUUAGGAAAGUUUACAGCCUGCUAACUCACGACCCGUUAUGGCCUAUCCGAAUUAGGCCCAACAGCGUCAUGUGGACCGUCCAAUAUGAUUUCAACUUCCGGCCCAUGUAUGGCCCAUGAUGUCUUUCGGCCCAUAUGAGGCCCUUUGUAACUUUGGGCCCUUUUAACGGCUUGUGAUGAAACUAGCCCAUAAUGAACAUUAUAUCACUUUAUACCCAUUAACAGCCCAUUAUUCAGUCGAGCCAUUUCCAGCCCGUGUUAUCUUCGGUCUUCUUUGAGCCCAUUUAUUCUUGGGCUCAUUUCCAGCACUCGAUUACUUACGGUCCGUUACUGGGCUGUUCGCUGAUGGCCAAAUUCUAACCAUGGUUACAGUCGACCCAUUUGUGGCUCGUUAAUCCAUUGGGUCAUUUUGUAGCGUCAUCUAAUACGGUCCAUUAACGAACCGUUAUGCCCAUCGAUAGAAUUAAGCCCGUUAUACAUAUCGGCCUAUUAACGGCCCAUUACGGUCAGGCCCAUAAACAGAUGAUUCCCAUUUUAGCCCGUUUACGGCCCAUAUUGCGGUCCGUUAUUGGUCCACGAAUAGUGCGACCCAUGUUUGUCCAACCGAUCAUACGGCCCGUAGAAGGCCCAUUGAUCCUACGGCCCGUAGGAAGCCCAUGGAUCCUACGGCCCGAAGGCCAAUACUAUAGUAGGCAGCGGGACCAUGGUUACAACGGUCUAUAUGUGGCCCAUGGUUUUUGUGGCCUAGUUCUCAAACAAAAAAGGUUACUAGCAAAACCGCGGAAAAAGAACUGUAGUGACUACUGAUACGUCUCCAACGUAUCUAUAAUUUUUGAUUGUCCCGUGCUAUUAUAUUAUCUGUUUUGGAUGUUUUAUAUGCAUUAAUAUGCUAUUUUAUAUGAAUUAUGGGACUAACCUAUUAAACCUAGAGCCCAAUGCCAGUUUCUGUUUUUUCCUUGUUUUAGAGUUUCGUAGAAAACGAAUACCAAACGGCGUCCAAACGGAAUGGAACUUUCGCGAUGAUUUUUCUUGGACCAGAAGACAUCCAGAGGGCUUGGAGUGCAUGUAAGGAAAGCCACGAGGCGGCCACAAGGUCGGGAGGCACGCCCAGGGGGUAGGGCGUGCCCCCCACCCUUGUGGGCCCCUCGUGACUCCACCGACCUAUUUCUUCCGCCUAUAUAUCCUCAAAUAUCCCAAAAACAUCCAGGGGAGCCACGAAACCACUUUUCCACCGCCGCGACCUUCUGUACCCGUGAGAUCCCAUCUAGGGGCCUUUUCCGGCGUCCUGUCGGAGGGGGACUCGAUCACGGAGGGCUUCCACAUCAACACCAUUGCCUCUCCGAUGAAGCGUGAGUAGUUUACCACAGACCUACGGGUCCAUAGUUAGUAGCUAGAUGGCUUCUUCUCUCUCUUUGAUUCUCAAUACAAAGUUCUUCUCGAUGUUCUUGGAGAUCUAUUCGAUGUAAUACUUUUUUGCGGUGUGUUUGCCGAGAUCCGAUGAAUUGUGGAUUUAUGAUCAGCUUAUCUAUGAAUAUUAUUUGAAUCUUAUCUGAAAUCUUUUUUGCAUGAUUUGAUAUCUUUGCAGGUCUUUUCGAACUAUCGAUUUGGUUGGGGCAACUAGAUUGGUUUUUCUUGCAAUGGGAGAAGUGCUUAGCUUUAGGUUCAAUCUUGCGGUGCUCGAUCCUAGUGACAGAAGGGGAACCGACACGUAUUGUAUUGUUGCCAUCGAGGAUAACAAGAUGGGGUUUUCAUCAUAUUGCUUGAGCUAAUUCUGCUACAUCAUGUCAUCUUACUUAAUGCGUUACUCUGUUCUUAUGAACUUAAUACUCUAGAUGCUGGCAGGAGUCGGUCGAUGUGUGGAGUAAUAGUAGUAGUUGCAGAAUCGUUUCGGCCUACUUGACACGUACGUGAUGCCUAUAUUCAUGAUCAUUGCCUUAGAUAUCGUUGUAACUUUGCGCUUUUCUAUAAAUUUCUCGGCAGUAAUUUGUUCACCCACCGUAAUAUUUUCUAUCUUAAGACAAGCCUCUGGUGAAUCCUAUGGCCCCCGGGUCUAUUUUCCAUCAUAUAAUCUUCUAUUUUCCAUCAUAUAAUCUUCUACUUUCCAUCAUAAAAGUUUCCGAUCUAAAAUUUUAGUUUCCUAUUUACUUUCUUUGCAAUAUUUUACUUUCCGUCGCAUAAACCAAAAAUACCAAAAAUAUUACUUUACCUUUUAUCCAUCUCUAUCAGAUCUCACUUUGCAAAUAACCUUGAAGGGAUUGACAACCCCUUUGUUGUGUUGGGUGCAAGUUGGUGUUUAUUUGUGCAGGUAUUCGAUGGCUUGCGCGUUGUCUCCUACUCGGUUGAUACCUUGGUUAUCAAAGCUGAGGGAAAUACUUACUCUACUUUGCUGCAUCACCGUUUCCUCUUCAAGGGAAAAACCAACGCAAGCUCAAGAGGUAGGAAGAAGGAUUUCUGGCGCCGUUGCCCGAGAGAUCUACGCCAAGCCAAGACAUACCAAGUACCCAUCAUAAACUCUCAUCCCUUGCAUUACAUUAUUUGCCAUUCGCCUCUCGUUUUCCUCUCCCCCACUUCUAAAAUGAUUUUCGAAAAGAUUUAUCUUUUCUUCGCCCCUCUUCCGUUCGUCUUCUUCAUUUGCUUUUUGUGAACUCGUGUGUUGGAUUGCUUGCUUUGUCGCAAUGACCUCUCCAAAAAACGUUGACCCUCACCUUAGGAGGUUAGACGAAAUUGAAAAUAAUGUUAGAAGCUUCAUGUCUUUGCAAUUUGAGCAUAACAAUUUCUUUAGAAACGAGCUCAAGGAGCAGAAAAGUUUUAUGGAAUACAUGAAUAAAGAGCUUGAUUAUAUGUCAAAGGAAUUUUAUGGUUUGAGAUCUUAGUUUGCGCAUCUUGAAAAUUUAGUAGGUCAAAAUUCUGAUAAACAAGCUACUUUAGUGAACAAAAUGGCCGCUAAACCAGAGGCUGAAAAUAAUGAUGAAGAUCUUAAAGUAAUUGAUGUGACUCCUAUUGAAUCUUUGUUUUCCAAUGUAAAUCUCGAUAAAGAUGGGACUAGAUAUGAGUCAACUUUAGUUAGAAGGCGUCCCAAUGAUUCGGAGUUUUUAGAUCUGGAUGCAAGAAUUGAUAAAAGUGGAUUGGAGAGGUCAAAACUUUAAGUAGCAAUGAACCCACUCUUUUGGAUUUCAAGGAAUUUAAUUAUGAUAAUUAUUAUUUAAUAGAUUGUAUUUCCUUGUUGCAAUCCAUGUUGAAUUCUCCUCAUGCUUAUAAUCAAAACAAAGCUUUUACUAAACAUAUCGUUGAUGCUAUGAUGAAAUCCUUUGAAGAAAAGCUUGAAUUGGAAGUUUCUACUCCUAGAAAACUUUAUGAUGAGUGGGAACCUACUAUUAAGAUUAAAAUUAAAGAUUAUGAGUGCCAUGCUUUGUGUGAUUUGGGUGCUAGUGUUUUCACGAUUCCGAAAACUUUAUGUGAUGUGUUAGGUUUCCAUGAAUUUGAUGAGUGUUCUUUAAAUUUGCAUCUUGCGGAUUCCACUAUUAAGAAACCUAUGGGAAGAAUUAAUGAUGUUCUUAUUGUCGCAAAUAGGAAUUAUGUGCCCGUAGAUUUCAUUGUUCUUGAUAUAGAUUGCAAUCCUACAUGUCGUAUUAUUCUUGGUAGACCUUUCCUUAGAACGAUUGGUGCAAUUAUUGGUAUGAAAGAAGGAAACGUUAGAUUUCAAUUUCCGUUAAGGAAAGGUAUGGAACACUUUCCAAGGAAGAAAAUUAAAUUGCCUUAUGAAUCUAUUAUGAGAGCCACUUAUGGAUUGCAUACCAAAGAUGACAAAACCUAGAUCUAUUUUGUGUUUUAUGCCUAGCUAAGGGCGUUAAACAAUAGCGCUUGUUGGGAGGCAACCGAAUUUUAUUUUUGCUUUUGCUUUUUUGGUUCUGUUCUACAAUAAAAUUUUCAUCUAGCCUCUGGUUAGAUGUGAUUUUGUGUUUUAAUUAGUGCUUGUGCCAAGUAGGACCUUUGGGAUGGCUUACGGUGAUAGUUGUGUUGAUCCUGCUGAAAAACAGAAACUUUUGCGCUCAAAAAAACAAUUCUUAUUUUCUGCUGGAGAGUGGAAAAACUCUGAUUUUUUUACACAAGAUUGAUAUACGAAUUGCCUCUGUUGUCCUAAUUUUUCAGAAUUUUUGGAGUUACAAAAGUAUUAGAACAAUUCAGAUAUUCGUAGACUAUUCUGUUUUUGACAGAUUCUGUUUUUCGUGUGUUGUUUGCUUAUUUUGAUGCAUCUAUGGCUAGUAUCGGGGGGUAUGAACCAUGAAAAAGUUGGAAUACAGUAGAUAUUUCACCAAUAUAAAUAAAGAAUGAGUUCACAAUAGUACCAAAAGUGGUCAUUUAUUUUUCUUAUACUAACGGAGCUUAUAAGAUUUUAUGUUGAGUUUUGUGUUGUGAAGUUUUCAAGUUUUGGGUAAGGAUUUGAUGGACUAUGGAAUAAGGAGUGGCAAGAGCCUAAGCUGGGGAAUGCCCAAGGCACCCCAAGGUAAUAUUCAAGGACAACCAAGAGCGUAAGCUUGGGGAUGCCUCGGGAAGGUAUCCCCUUUUUCGUCUUCGUCUAUUGGUAACUUUACUUGAGGCUAUAUUUUUAUUCACAACAUGAUAUGUGUUUAGCUUGGAGAGUCUUGUAUGAUUUGAGUCUUUCCUUUUUGGUUUUCCACAAUCAUCCUUGCUGUACACACCUUUUGCGAGAGACACGCAUGAAUCUUGAUUUAUUAGAAUACUCUGUGUGUUUCCCUUAUAUCUUUUGAGCUAGGCAAAUUUGCUCUAGUGCUUCACUUAUAUCUUUUUAGAGCACGGUGGUGGUUUUAUUUUAUAUAAAUUGAUGAACUCCCGCACUUCACUUAUAUUAUUUUGAGAGUCUUUAGAACAGCAUGGUAAUUUGCUUUGGUUAUAAAUUUAGUCCUAAUAUGAUAGGCAUCCAAGAGGGAUAUAAUAAAAGCUUUCAUAUAAAGUGCAUUGAAUACUAUGAGAAGUUUGAUUCCUUAUGAUUUUUUUUGAGAUAUGAAGAUGGUGAUAUUAAAGUCAUGCUAGUGAUUAGUUGUGAAUUUGAGAAAUAAUUGUGUUAAAGUUUGUGAGUCCCGUAGCAUGCACGUAUGGUGAACCGUUAUGUGAUGAAGUCGGAGCAUGAUUUAUUUAUUGAUUGUCUUCCUUAUGAGUGGCGGUCGGGGACGAGCGAUGGUCUUUUCCUACCAAUCUAUCCCCCUAGGGGCAUGCGCGUAGUACUUUGUUUUGAUGACUAAUAGAUUUUUUUAAUAAGUAUGUGAGUUCUGUAUGACUAAUGUUGAGUCCAUGGAUUAUACGCACUCUCACCUUUCCGCCAUUGCUAGCCUCUCUAGUACCGCGUAACUUUCUCCGGUACCAUAAACCCAUCAUAUACCUUCCUCAAAACAGCCACCAUACCUACCUAUUAUGGCAUUUCCAUAGCCAUUCCGAGAUAUAUUGCCAUGCAACUUUCCAUCGUUCCGUUUAUAUGACACGCUCCAUUAUUCUCAUAUUGCUUUGCAUGAUCAUGUAGUUGACAUUGUAUUUGUGGCAAAGCCACAGUUCAUAAUUCUUUCAUACAUGUCACUCUUGAUUCAUUGCACAUCCCGGUACACCGCCGGAGGCAUUCAUAUAGAGUCAUAUUUUGUUCUAAGUAUCGAAUUGUAAUUCUUGAGUUGUAAGUAAAUAAAAGUGUGAUGAUCUUCACUAUUAGAGCAUUGUCCCAAGUGAGGACAGGAUGAUGGAGACUAUGAUUCCCCCACAAGUCGGGAUGAGACUCCUGACAAAAAAAGAGGCAAAAAAAUGAGAGAAGGCCCAAAUAAAAAAUUGAGGGAAAAGAGGGAAGAGGCAAUGUUACUAUCCUUUUACCACACUUGUGCUUCGAAGUAGCACCAUGAUCUUCAUGAUAAAGAGUCUCCUAUGAUAUCAUUUUCAUAUACUAGUGGGAAUUUUCAUUAUAGAACUUAGCUUGUAUAUUCCAAUGAUGGGCUUCCUCAAAUUGCCCUAGGUCUUCGUGAGCAAGCGAGUUGGAUGCACACCCACUUAGUUUUCUUUUUGAGCUUUCGUAAACUUAUAGCUCCAGUGCAUCCGUUGCAUGGCAAUCCCUACUCACUCACAUUGAUACGCCUAGUUGAUGUGAGACUAUCUCCUUCUUUUUGUCUUCUCCACAACCACCGUCUAUUCCACCUAUAGUGCUAUGUCCAUGGCUCACGCUCAUGUAUUGUGUGAAAGUUGAAAAAGUUUGAGAACGUCGAAAGUAUGAAACAAUUUCUUGGCUUGUCAUCGGGGUUGUGCAUGAUUUAAAUAUUUUGUGUGAUGAAGAUCGGGCAUAGCCAGACUAUAUGAUUUUGUAGGGAUAAGCUUUCUUUGGCCAUGUUAUUUUGAGAAGACAUAAUUAUUUUUUUAGUAUGCUUGAAGUAUUAUUGUUUUUAUGUCAAUAUUAAAGUUUUGAUUUGAAUCAUACGGAUUUGAACAUUCAUGCAACAAUAAAGAAAAUUACAUGAAUAAAUAUGUUAGGUAGCAUUCCACAUUAAAAAUUCUGUUUUUAUCAUUUACCUACUCGAGGACGAGCAAGAAUUAAGCUUGGGGAUGCUUGAUACGUCUCCAACGUAUCUAUAAUUUUUUAUUGUUCCAUGCUAUUAUAUUAUCUGUUUUGGAUGUUUCAUAUGCAUUAAUAUGCUAUUUAUAUGAUUUUUGGGACUAACUAUUAACCUAGAGCCCAGUUCCAGUUUCUGUUUUUUUCCUUGUUUUAGAGUUUCGCACAAAAGGAAUACCAAACGGAGUCCAAACGAAAUGAAACUUUCGCGAUGAUUUUUCUUGGACCAGAAGACAUCCCUAGGGCUUGGAGUGCACGUCAGGAAAGCGACGAGGCGGCCACAAGGUCGGGAGGCGCGCCCAGGGGGGUAGGGCGCGCCCCCCACCCUUGUGGGCCCCUUAUGACUCCACCGACCUAUUUCUUCCGCCUAUAUAUUCUCAAAUAUCCUAAAAACAUUCAUGGGAGCCACGAAACACUUUUCCACCGCCGCAACCUUCUGUACCCGUGAGAUCCCAUCUAGGGGCCUUUUCCGGCGUCCUGACGGAGGGGGACUCAAUCACGGAGGGCUUCUACAUCAACACCAUUGCCUCUCCGAUGAAGCAUGAGUAGUUUACCACAGACCUACGGGUCCAUAGUUAGUAGCUAGAUGGCUUCUUCUCUCUCUUUGAUUCUCAAUACAAAGUUCUUCUCGAUGUUCUUGGAGAUCUAUUCGAUGUAAUACUUUUUUGCGGUGUGUUUGCCGAGAUCCGAUGAAUUGUGGAUUUAUGAUCAUCUUAUCUAUGAAUAUUAUUUGAAUCUUCUCUGAAAUAUUUUAUGCAUGAUUUGAUAUCUUUGCAAGUCUCUUCGAACUAUUGAUUUGGUUUGACCAACUAGAUUAGUUUUUCUUGCAAUGGGAGAAGUGCUUAGCUUUGGGUUCAAUCUUGUGGUGCUCGAUCCUAGUGACAGAAGGGGAACCGACACGUAUUGUAUUGUUGUCAUCAAGGAUAACAAGAUGGGGUUUUCAUCAUAUUGCUUGAGCUAAUUCCUCUACAUCAUGUCAUCUUACUUAAUGCGUUACUCUGUUCUUAUGAACUUAAUACUCUAGAUGUAGGUAGGAGUCGGUCGAUGUGUGGAGUAAUAGUAGUAGAUGUAGAAUCGUUUCGGUCUACUUGACACGGACAUGAUGCCUAUAUUCAUGAUCAUUGCCUUAGAUAUCAUCAUAACUUUCGCUUUUCUAUCAAUUGCUCGACAGUAAUUUGUUCACCCACCAUAAUAUUUUCUAUCUUAAGACAAGCCUCUAGUGAAACUUAUGGCCCCCGGGUCUAUUUUCCAUCAUAUAAUCUUCUAUUUUCCAUCAUAUAAUCUUCUACUUUCCAUCAUACAAGUUUCUGAUCUAAAAUUUUAGUUUCCUAUUUACUUUCUUUGCAAUCUUUUACUUUCUUUCCCAUAAACCAAAAAUACCAAAAAUAUUACUUUACCUUUUAUCCAUCUCUAUCAGAUCUCACUUUGCAAAUAACCUUGAAGGGAUUGACAACCCCUUUGUCGCGUUGGGUGCAAGUUGGUGUUUGUUUGUGCAGGUAUUCGGUGGCUUGCGCGUUGUCUCCUACUCGAUUGAUACCUUGGUUAUCAAAACUGAGGGAAAUACUUACUCUACUUUGCUGCAUCACCGUUUCCUCUUGAAGGGAAAAACCAACGCAAGCUCAAGAAGUAGCAACUACAAGCAACCAAAUAAACAAGACAAUAAGAAAAUAAAUAAGCAAGCAACUUAUGCUAGGCAACUACAUCUAUUACACAUAUUACAUCCACUAGGCAUCAAAGUUCGCCAUCAUUGCAAAUAUAGGAGACAAAACAACAUAUUACAUACUAGGCGUUUAAACUGACCACCAGUACAAAUAAACAUGGAAGCAAAACAAGUCCAUUAUAUUAAGAACAAAAAGACUACAAAACUUUCUACAGACGGCUGAUGAUUUCUUUGUAAACUAUGUUCAUGGUCUUCAAAGUAGAGCAACUAUUACUUACUCAAUUAAGAGCUUAACCACUUGUGGGAGGUAACCCGUAAUACAGCCAUGGACAACUUCCUCUCAUCAAAACUAUCUGUAGACAUGGAUAUGGAGUCAAUGUACACACAUAGUGUCAUGUUGUAGAAUAUGUUGAUAGAGCUGGUUAUAUUAGCCAACCUAAGAACAAUGUACAGAGCCAUGUUAAUCUAGAGCAGAAGAUCAGUAAUAAUACUAACAAUUUCGUCCUGGCUCGAUCUUAUCAAAGAUCUCGUGUUUUUUACAUAACAUACAUGGACUCAUGGCCUUCCAAAACCUAUAUGCUGACACAUUGUUUGCCCCUAUGUGUUUUUUACAUAACAUACAUGGACUGCAUGGCCUUCCAAAACCUAGAUGAUGACACAUUGUUUGCCCCUAUUUUCCUUCACUUCUAGAAAUUGCAAAUUGUAAAUAUAGCAAAAAGAAACAAUGUAAUGUGAACAGCAUACGUAUAUUGUAGAAUAAUUUGUUUUAUUGGCCUACACAAUACAAUACAUGUUAUCACUGGAUAUGCAAGUCAGUGGAAAGUUUUAACUACAGAGUAGUGCCAGCAAGCAUAUUCAGGGACUUCAGUGUUCAUACAUGUAACGACCGUUCCGUUUCAAAAAAAAAAUUGUAACUAUUGUUACAGAGAAAGUUAAUGCAAAGUGUGAGCCUGCAUAAUUUAAUUUGCAAGAAAGUUGAACGACAGUGAAGAAGUUAUGGACUUAAGAUACUAUUUUUUUACGAAACCUCGUCAGAGGGCCAGGAGCUCUGGCAUUGCAUUCUAGAAGAAGAGAGUUAAUCCAGUUUAUAAGGGAAACCGGAUCGAAAAACCUAAUAGAGUGACUCGUUUCUGAGGAAAACUAGACCGACAACCGCACAAGCGACAAAGCCUCGCCGACCACACGACCCAAGGCUACAAUCGCAACAAACACACACACGCAACUCCGGAGCCGCCGUUCCGACAUCCCCGCCCGCACGCGAGCCACAACGCCGCACGGCUCAAGCGCCUUGUAGCCCUUGCUACCCGAGACGACCGCUCGCAGACCACGAACGCCGUGUCAAACAUCCGGGGCCGCUGCCCCGACUUCCAGUCAGACCGACCCCUUAGAUCGCGUCGACCGAGCGGAUGAACUCACUACCCCGCAGCACUAGGUCGCCGCCCAUGCCAAGCAAAGCAGCGGACCUACCCCAUAGGGCCGUCGUUGCAUGGCCAUCCGAGGCCGCGCCUCGGCGUACAUCCACCGUCGGGAGCCGCCGCUCCGACUUCCACUGCCUCGGCAUCCCACCAGAAAUACAAUAGGCACAAGCGCCACUACCCCAGAAGAAUUCUUCGUCUUUCCACUCUGGCCAGAAGCCCAGAAGGGAGAGUGGAUCUGUUUUUAUUUCACUGAAAAGUUCCAUCGAUCAUUUCUAUAGGACGGUAGUGGACACUGAGCGAAUCAAUGGAAUUAAACAAGGGGUAGUACAUAGCAUAUCAUGUCUUCCUCUCCUCUCCUACUCACAAGUGUAACAUGCAUGCAUACAGAUUAAUUAUAUAAAAAGCCAAAAAAGAUCACGAUGAACUAUAUAUCCCAGACUUGAGUUUGAAUUCGAAGCUUAAACCAACAUAUUAGAAUAGCACCUCAUCUUGGCACAAAGGAUUUCAGACAUGAACAUGUAUGCAGCACAAAUCCUCUCCUGGAAAGAAAAUUUAGAAGGAAACAAUGACCAGUAAAUUUAAAAAAUACUGUCACUCCCUAUGUUCACUUCUGUAGGACCUUUUAGACAUUUAAGACAACACCUAAAACAAUUCAAUUUCAGCUGUCUUAAACGACUUACAAAAGUGAACAGAGGAAGUAUUAUUUUUCAGUUGUCUGCUUUUGAAUUCGUCUCGGGUCAUUUUCUGUCCGUCCGAUCCACACGCGUCUCCGCGCGUCGUACGACCUCAGUCUCGCGUGAACCGGGUCUCUUUUUUUUGUGUUGUGUUGGGCUUUCGGGUUCGCGAGUUUCUAUUGUCUUUUGAAUUGAGUUAAAUACACUACAGGUGCCCUAACUUGUCCGGCAAGGUCAGUUUGGUGCCUAAACUUGAAAAAUGCACAAAAGUGGUGUCGUAACUUGUCUGAGCGUUCAAAUACGGUGCUUCUAGACGUAUGCCGCCGUAUCAACUGCCGGUGAGGCAUGCCAACGUGUCGCUGGGCCACAUGUCAGUGGCUGCGGGCGCGUUGUGAGUUAUGCAUGUAGUUUUUUUAAAUGCCCCUGGACUUUAGUUAAUUCUUGCAAAAAAUCAUUACGGGCGCUGCAUGCACACUGUUUUUUAGGGAACGUGCCCGUACUUUAAUUAAUUCUCACAAAAAUAUAAACACAAGUUGGCAUGAAGGUGCGGGUUGCCUAACAAACAAGCGGACCAAGAGGCAACACUUUGGUUUACAUUUAACUGCUAGCUAGCAACUUAUAUGCACGAUUCCACGUAUCGCUUUGCACAUGUUUUCUACAGCUUUUUUGAAGUACUGCUUCGCUUUUUUUACGAGUGAAGUUCCUGUUUAAUUUUGAUGAUACAUAAAUUUUCCCAUAUAAAAAUAAAAUAAUUAUCAAUCUGCAAUUAUUGUUGAUUUUAUAUCUUUAUUUUAUUUUCAUUAUUGUGUACCUUGAAGAGAUAAACAUGAAUUUUCUCUAAAAUUUAUGUGGACAUAAAAAGUUGAACGUAUAUUAAAAAUUAUUCUGUAAAUUUAUGUAUCCUCAUUGAGCACCAUAAGCACGAACAAUUAUUCUGUAUCUUCAUUCUAUUUUUAAAAUGCACAAUUAUUUAAAAUUGACAAUAUUGUAUUUCAAAAACUGUUCAACGUGUAUUAAAUAUUAUUGUGUGACAAUAAUAAAUUCUAGAAACGUACUAACAUGUUAAGCGUGUUUGUAGAAAUUUAAGAAUAAUAUUACACAAUAUUAUUUUAAUAGGCAUUCAACAUUAUCAAAAAAACAUGGUGAGCAUUUGCUAAAAUAAUAUGAAAAAAUGAACAUGAACGUGAACGUGUAUUUCAAAAACUGCUCACUUUGUUUUUAAUAUACGUUCAACUUUUUAAUUCCACAUCAAUUUUAGAAAAAGUUCAUGUUUAUCUCUUCAAAGUAAACACAACGGAAAUAGACAAAAUUUCAUAUUGAUACUUAUUUUACUUUUUCACACGGAAAAAAAUUAUGUAUCAUGAAAACUAAACAGAAACUUCACUCGAAGAAAAACAAGAUAGUAACUUGGAAAUAAAUAUAAAUAAAAUUACUCCAGCAAAAGCAUAUGCAGAGCGAUACAUGCAAUCAUCUAUAUAAACUGCUUGCUUAUAAUUAAGCGCAAACUAGACUGUGGCCACCUGGUCCGCUUGAUUGUCAGCUGACGAGGAUGUCACAUGUUCGAAUUCCCUGCACGCUCGCUUCCUGGUAUUUUUUGCGAGCAUUACCUAAAAUCAAGGGGGAGCAAGAAUUGAUUAAAAUUCAGGGGCAUUCCUGUAAAAAACACGUGUAGCUCACAGCGCGCGUCCAACGCCUGCAACCACUGACAUGUGGCCCAACGACAUCAACGCGGGCACUCGAUACGGCGGCAUGCGUUCAGAGGUAUCGUAUUUGAACGGCCAGACAAGUUAUGACACCAUUUUUGGGUAUUUUUCAAAUUUAGGCAUGAAACUGACCGCACCGGACAAGUUAAGCACGUGUGUGUGCUGUAUUUAACUCUUUUGAAUUUCUAUUCAGUCGGUGGGGCGGCGGCCUUUGUCUUAGCUGGGGAAGGGAUUGAAAGGGGUUGGCCGAGGCGGCGGAGGGAACGGGGAGCUUCUCGCCGCUCGCCGGUGAUUAGCGGCAGGUCGGCCAAGCGAAGACGGCGCCCGGCGAGUCACCCCACAAGCGGGGUUUGUUCGCGGGAGGCGUGCUUCACAGGGAGGGCCUCAGGCAAGAGAGGUGUUAGUCUGGAGAGGAGCUCGGCCGUAGCUACCCCUUCGUGCUCGCCACCAGCAAGCGCCGUCGAUGGGUGAUGUAGUAUUCGCCGGAGCCGGUGGGCCGCAAGGUAUACUCCCGUCUCCCUGUUGUCCUCGCUCUGAACAAUUUCUGUUGUUCUCUGUGAUCUGCCUCUUUAUGUGUUUGAUUCAGUUCAUCGUCGUGGUCGCCGGGCAUAGAGCCAUGUCGCAGGAGUUGUUCAGCUAGCUGGUUUUUGAGUAGGAACGUUUUGUGAUAGCUUAGUUCACCUCUGCGAUUUGGAGUGGUUCAUCAGAAACUAUCCUGAAUAUUUUGCUGCCACCUAUGCGCGUGUGUCGCUCUAUCCCCAAAUUUCAUCGCCAAAUCCGCCUCGUUGAACGCAUUUUCCGCUGGCCACUCCGGCCCCGGCUCCCGCCCCCGCUCCCGCUCCCGCUCCCCAGCGCCGCCGGCCACUCCGGCCCCGGCGCCCACCAGCCUGCGACGGCCGCCACUCCGGCGCCGCCGCCCACCUCCCCGAUGGCCACCCCGCCCGCCGGCCGCGGCCGCGAGCUGCGGUGGAUGGAGUCUAGCCCAUCCUCCGCUGGAUCUGGCGCCCCGUCGUACCUCGACGUGCUCCGCUCGUCACCUCCCCCCGUCAGGCACCCCUCCCCUCCCCGCCUCCGCCCUCGCCGCCGGCCCCGCGCCGCAUCCCCCGCUCCGAGGUCCAUCUUGUGGAGCGCGAGCCCGUGGAUGCGGCCAGCGACGGGUGGCGCGUCGCCACGGGGGGCAGGCGGCCGCGCUCGCCGCGCAACCCCCGGCGUCGCCGGCGCAGCCCUGGCACGCGUCGCGACCCGCCACCCCCGGCGAGUGCCCUCGAUGCUUCGGCGCUCACCCCCGCUCCGAGUGCAGGCGGGACGUGCGCUGCCGGCGCUGUCAUUUUUUUGGCCACAUCGCCAGGAACUGCACCACGCCGUGCCCCCGCUCACCGAGCUCCCCCCAUGCGGCCAAGAGGCCGCGGACCGCCUCCCCGCUACCCGCGAACUCCUCCGCGUCGAGCGUGGCGGGGCCGAGCCAGCCUGCAUCCUCCAGGCCUGGCUCCUCGUCCCCUUCCCCCGCUCCCACCUCCUCCGGGCGGAGCGCGUCUUCCCCGGCCACGGCCUCCCCCCCGCCCUCCUCAUCGCGCGAGAUCACCGCGAUGUCUGGGCAUCCCUCCCUUCGGCCUGCGGGCGCAGUCAGCUACGUGCCGCGCUCCGAGCGCCUCGACGCCGCGGAGCACGCCCUCGGGCUCGCGCUCGUCGCCAGCGUGGCUGGCAACCGCUCCGGGGUAUCUACCGACGACGUCGCCCGCGCCCUCUGCUCUCAGGUGCCGCUGGCGCCGGCCGAGUUCUCCGUCCACUGCACCCGCAACAACGAGUUCCUGGUCCGCUUCACCAGCCAGGAGGCCCGGGCGCGCGCUGCCCUGGCCAACGUGCGGGGGCCCAACUUCCGCCUGCUCCUACAGCCCUGGAGCCGUCUCGCAAGCGCCGAACCGCUCCGUCUCCGGAUCCAUGUCGACAUCGAGAUCUAUGGCAUCCCGGAGCACGGCUGGGACAUCUCUUCCGCCGUGCAGCUGCUCUCUCCGUUCUGCAUGGUCGGCCGCCUCGCGCCGGAGACUGCAAACGGGAGCGAUCUCUCCGUGUUCAAGCUCGAGGCUUGGACCGCGAACCCGGAUGGCAUUCCCCGCUCUUCUGAGCUUCUGCUCGAGGAGCCCGACGAGCUCGCCGACGCGGACCCCGAUCGCGUCGACCGUUUCACCUUGGCGCUCAUGCGAUUCCCCGUCACCAUCCAUGUCCGUCGUGCUGCGGACUACCGUUUCCCUUCGCCGCCACCCCCUCCGCCGCCGCCUGGCAAUGGCUCCGACGGCGCGUCGGACCAGGAUUCACCUCCCUGCCCCGACGCCUGGCCUCGCAGGCACGAUUUUCCGCGUCCUCCCGGAAACUCGCAUGCCGGCCGCCCCUCCCGCCGCGGUGAUUCCGGCCGGCGGGGCCGCCGCCGCGUUGCGCCCUCAUGCCGCGAUUGGCAGGGUGUGCUGGGGCCGUAUCCAGCCACUAGCGCGGCGCCACGUCGCCCGAUCAGCACGCGGCCGACGUCCCCUCCUGGCCCCCCACCUGCGCCCCACAUGUUGUCGGGACCUGCCGCUUCAUGCCAGGCCAUCACAACGGUGGGAUUCCCAUCGGUUCAAACCCGGCCCUUGGCCUUGACUGGGGUGGACUCUCCACGUGGCGCGUCCUCCGCCACAACUCUCCUCGAGCCCGCCUCGGAUUCGCCGAUUCUCCACGACACGCCUCCAGACCCUUCCAGCCCCCGGCAGAUGCCAAAGCAGAUAAUCUUAUCACCGCGCAGGCCAACUCCCCUUUGCAGCCUUCGCCACCAGCCUGUCGCCCUGGCGGCCAACCCGAUGCUGCCUGCGAGCCUCGGGGGACGUCUUUGGUGCCCCACCAACCCCCACCCCUGACCGUCGCGGAUCCCCAGGGAGGCGUGUUGGAUCACCCACCGGCUGGACCCGCUGGCGAUCCCUAGGACGCCAUCUCGCCACCAGCUGGGCCCGACGUGGACCCCCAGGCCACUUCCGAGGUCUCGGCUGGGCCGGAUCUCGUCCACCAGGCCGCCACCUGUGCUGAUGAUUGCAACCAUGCAGAGCACGUUACCGGCGGCCCACGUGGCGCACCCAGCACCACCAUGCACGUUCAAUGGGAGCGCUUCCUGUGCCAUUCCGCCCCACGUUCUCAGCUUCUUGGACUCGGUUAAGAUGCCAACGGCGCCGCUUCUCGCUACCCCGGCCCCCAGGCGCAAGCGGGCCAAAAUCCCGCCCAACUUCACGCCACGCCGUAGCGGACGGAUCGCCUCACAAAAUCAGGGAUACGACGCGGAAACAAAAGCCAAACGCGUGCUUCUUCGCAAGCUUGGCCUGCUCGGGAGCGACGAGCCGCUAUCCGCCGACCUUCUCGCUAGAUACUCACGGCUCUUCGACCGACCGCUGGCCACGGAUGUCGUCCUUGCUUUUGCGGACUUCUUUGGAUGGCGUGUGCCGCGGGAGCUUAUCGCGAGCCCCGUGCAUGGCCAGGCCCUCCUCACCGAGGCAUGACUGGGCGUUUCCUAGUCCAUCUUGGGCCCCCCCAACUCUUAUGGAUAAUCACAUCAAAGUUGUAGUCUGGAAUGUGUGUGCUCUUAACAGCAAAGCCAAGCGCAUCGCUGUCCGCACCGUUAUUGCCUCUACUUCCCCCCUCGUGGUCUGCCUUCAAGAGACUAAAUUGUCCCUAGUGACGCCUACUCUGGUUUUCGAGACGCUUGGUGCCAGCUUCGCCGACUUCUACUUCCUCCCCGCGGUGGGCACACGCGGUGCCAUUCUUCUCGCUUGGCGUAGCGACGUGAUCGCUCUGGCCAACCCGACCAUCGGGACCUACCACGUCUCUGCAACGGUCUCUUCCCUUUCGGGGAACGACACCCGGUGGAUCACCGGCGUUUACGGGCCGCAAAGCGCCCCAGACAAACUUGCGUUCCUCUCUGAGCUUCACGACCUGCGGGAAUCUAUUGCCGGACCUUGGGUCUUAGGCGGCGACUUCAACAUGGUGACCUCCAUCGCUGACAAGAGCAACGGCCGUGUCAACCACCGUACAAUGAAUCAAUUCAGGCGCUUCAUUGCCGACUCGGCCUUGCGCGAUAUCUACCUCCAUGGCCGAAGAUUCACUUGGUCCAACGAGCAAGACAACCCCACGCUCGUGCGCAACGAUCAUGUUCUAUGCACACCCUCGUGGGAGAUCAACAACCCCAACCACAUGCUCCAUUGCCUCGCUUCGGCGGUCUCCGACCACCGUCCACUCGUCCUUGACUGUUCUCCCCGCAAGCGCGGCCGGCCGCGCUUCCACUUCGAGCGAUUUUGGACCAAGCUUGAGGGCUUCCACCAUACCGUUUCCACGGCCUGGCACUCUGAGGAGCCCGACCCGGACCCAUUCCGGCGAAUCUACGCGCGCCUAAAGGCUACGGCGCGCGCGCUCAGGAGCUGGAGCUCGCGCUCGCUCGGCGACAUCUCUACGCAGCUCCUGGUUUCCUGCGAACUUAUAUAUCGCCUCGACCUGGCACAAGACAAGCGCACUCUUUCUGCUAGUGAAGCCUGGCUCCGGCGGGAGCUCAAACGCAAGUACUUGGGUCUGGCCUCUCCUGACCGCUCCAUUGCUUGUGAGCGGGCUCGCUUCUCCUGGCUCAAGGAGGGAGACACUAAUACGGCAUUCCUCAAAAUCCACACCGCUCAUCGAUGCUAAAAGAGCCACAUGACAGGGCUGCAUCAGGACGACCACUUUGUCAGCGAUCUUCCUGGCAUGGCUCGGGCUGCGUUCGACCACUUCACUGCCACCAUUGGAUCCCAGUCCACGCGUGAUCACGCGCUCAACAUACGCAUGUUCGAUCAACGCCGCUUCGACCUGCUACCGCUUGAUGAGCCUUUUUCCGAGGACGAGAUAUGGAAUGCAAUCAAGGCCCUGCCGCUUGGCAAGGCGCCGGGACCGGACGGCUUCACGACGGAAUUCCUACGCUCGUGUUGGGCCAUCGUCAAAGACGACAUAUGUGCCGCUUUCGACAAACUCUACACUAUGAACGGCAUGGGAUUUCGCAAACUCGAUGAGGCGCUACUCAUCCUACUGCCCAAGAGACAAGAUGCAUCGACCCUCGCGCAUUACCGGCCGAUCAGUCUUAUACACCUCAUUGCCAAGCUCUUCGCCAAAGUCCUCUCCCUCCGGCUAGCGCCGCGUCUCCGAGAGAUGGUGUCCACGAACCAAAGUGCGUUCAUCGCCGGAAGGAGUGCGCAUGAUAACUUUCUUCUCGUCCAACAAACGGCCUGGCUCCUCCACAACCUCAAAGGCACUGCGCGUUCUUCUUAAAUUGGACAUCGCAAGGCAUUCGACACGGUGGCGUGGCUAUUCCUCCUCGAGACGCUUCGACACUUGGGGUUUGGCAUGCGUUGGUGUGAGUGGAUUUCGAUCCUCCUCUCCACUGCUUCGACUCGUGUUCUCCUCAAUGGCACCCCCGGACCGCCGAUCACUCAUGCCCAAGGGCUGCGCCAGGGUGACCCGGUGUCCCCCAUGCUGUUCACCCUGGUGAUUGACAAGCUUAACUCGCUCCUCGAGCAUGUCACGAACCAAGGAAUCCUCCAGCGGCUGACCACGCGCCACGCCGCGUCCAGCAUAUCCAUGUUCGCCGACGACGUGGUCAUCUUCUGCCACCCCGACGCCCAUGAGCUCUCCGCCAUCAGAAUGCUGCUCGACACUUUUGGCAACGCCUCGGGUCUUCGAACCAACUUCCUCAAGUGUUCCGCUUCACCCAUCAGAUGCGGCGACAACCACCGCGCCACCAUUGGCGCCUCCCUCUCCUGCCCGCUGGAAGAAUUUCCCAUCAAAUACCUAGGGCUACCGCUCUCAACUCGCAAAGUGCCGGCCUCCGCCCUCCUUCCACUUGUCGACAAGCUUACCAUGAAGCUCGCAACCUGGAAAGCCUCUUUGUUGUCCCGUGGCCAGCGGCUUGCUCUUGUCAGACAUGUCCUCACCGCCAUGCAUGUGCAUAUCCUGUUAGCGCUAGCGCUACACCCAGCGAUCCUCAAGAAGGUCAACAGGCUCAUUCGAGAUUUCCUUUGGCACGGCAACAAGGAUGCCUAUGCUGGUUGCUGCAUCGUCUCUUGGCAAAAGGUAUGCCGUCCCCUCGCGCUUGGUGGACUGGGGAUCCGCGAUCUGCACCGUACUAGCGUCGCCCUCCGCACCAGGUGGCUAUGGCUGCAGGGAACCGACCCUGACCGCUCCUGGAAGCAUCUCCACCCCCCGACCGAUCACGAGGCCUCUGUGCUCUUCCGUGCUUCCACGACCUGGACCAUCGGCAAUGGCAACACCUGCAAGUUCUGGCAGGAUCACUGGCUCAACGGGCGCUCCAUCCCCGAGAUUGCUCCUACCCUUUCUGCCCUCAUCCCGAGGCGCCGCCGAAGCCAACGCCUUGUCAGCGACGCUCUCAACAACAGAGGCUGGAUCGCCGACAUCCAUGGCACCUUACACCCCCGCGCGGUCAUCGAAUAUGUCGAGCUAUGGAGGCUGCUCCAAACUAUCCAGCUCUCCAACGAACCCGACAAGCUCUCCUGGAAAUGGACGGCCGAUGGGAGCUACUCCGCGCGUUCAGCCUACCACGCGUUGUUCAUCGGCGACACCACCGCACCAUUCUGGCGCCCCAUCUGGAAGACUUGGGCUCCUUCCAAUGCGAAGAUCUUCCUCUGGCUUGCCUCUCUCAACAGAUGCUGGACCGCCGACCGGAGAGCGCGCCACAACCUUCCUCAUGACCCCAUUUGCAAGCUGUGCAGCCAAGACAAUGAGACACUGCACCACCUCCUCGUCGGCUGCGUCUUCUCGCGCAUCAUUUGGCACGACAUCAUGGCAUGGUGCCGCAUUCCCGCCCUUCCCCCUGAUGGCGCUUCCAGCUUCUUCGACUGGUGGAUGGUAACGACGGCCAGCGUGCCAGCCUGCCUCCGCAAAGGGACGAACUCCAUCAUCAUCCUCACCUCUUGGGCACUUUGGAAGCAUCGCAACGCAGCUCUCUUCGACAAUGCUGCACCCUCCUAUAACAAACUUGUCGAGGACAUAAAACAGGAGGCGAAACUCUGGGCAAGAGCCGGCGCCAAAGGGCUCGGUAGGAUCAUUUCUGUAACAUAAGAUGUAAACUAUGAGGCUGAGCAUCCUCCCUCCCUCGCUGCUUAACUAGCGCUUAGGCCCGCCAUCUCAUGUGUACGAGGCCUAAGACGCUCACCCUGGUACUCUCCCCCAACCUAUCAAUGGAAUGAUACGCAACUUGCGUAUUCGGGAUAUAAAUCCGCCUCGUUGUUUUUGGUACUAGAUUAUUUCAGUUUAGUGAAUGAGAGCUACUUUUUGGUACUAGAUUAUUUCAGUAUUUAAGCAUGUUCUGUACAUUAUUCAGCUUAAGUAAUUCCUUCAUCAUGGAGAUAGUUUUGCUUCUCAGGCCCGAGUUUGGGGAGCAAGUUCACAAUUAUUUUUGGUGUGAUUUUUUCACACUAAAACGAAUGGACCUGAAUUUUUCCCGUUACCUGUUAUGUAUUGGCUAUUAUAAUUUUUCAGUAUGGUUUUUCAGUAUGUUCUGGAGAUUAUAUUUUGCAUUGUAGUGCCUCCAAUUCAGGUUUGUUUGAAGUCAGUUUCUUCAGGGGCCAACAGUAAAAAAUCAAAGCACCCCUGAAUUAGUUUCUCUGAACACACCUGAAGAAAUCAACAUCUACCAGGAGACGGGUCGGCUAGGUUGCGCGCCAGUUGUGAAAGAUCGACGUGUCUCGAAGAUGGAAGGGCCUAUUUUUAGUUCUUUCUUGCAAUGGAUAUAGUUUAAAAUGAAGUUCAACUGCUGCAAACUCCAGUUCAUAUUUUUAAACUACAAUGCCUAAAAAUCACUUAUCCGAUCAGGGAGGUUAGACAACUUGUCAGGUUGUAGAAGUUUUUGUUCACAGUUCAUAGUGUUAUCUCCUCUUUUUUCUUUCUAUAUCAUGCAACAACUUUUUGCUUUUUAGUUCUUUUUUUAGGUGCAUGUCGAUUUUUUUCAUAUUUUUUUCAAUCAUAUUUUCAUGGGGGGUUGUUCUUGACCUGUGUUUUGGACAUCUGAUCUUUUGUCAUGGCUAUUUUUUGUUUUCAUUUUCGUUUCAUUCUUUGUUUUGCUUUCUGUAACAUAACCUUAAUUUUCGCAGAGAUGAUUGUGGAUAUUUCCCAACGAAGAUAAUGGAGAUAUGGGAACCAGCCUUGGAUCCGCGGAAGCAUUUCUCACAAGAUGAUAUCCAGAAUAUAAGGAUUCAAUAUAUGAAUCAACUAUUCUUUUGGAAGAAAAACACCGCAGACAAGAGGCUGGUCACUGAUUUCAACCUACAGGUUUUUCUUCCUUAUUUUUUAUUCAUUUUCACUUAUAUUUUUUAUUUUAUUUUUUUAAGUUGUUUUGCCAUUUUUCAUUAUUUUUGUGAUUUUAACUGUUGUCUUACUUUCUCUAUGUGAUUCUCCUUUCUUUUCUUUUCUACGGGAUGAUUUCGUUAACAAUCCUGCAUGAUAGCUUUGGUUUCUCUCUGUAUUUUGGGCCUGUUGGACGUAUAUCAAUUAAAGAGAGCUCGCCUACUUUUUUCCGAUGUCUCACAAAGAACUAUUUUUAACACCACAAAGAACAUUGUUAGUGGAGGGGGAUAGGAGGGAGUUUUGUGAUGUACAAACACCUCAUGCCCGUUGUGAAUGGGGGAGUUUUGUCUUGGAUGUGCAGACACCUCAUGCCCGUUGUAAAUGGGGAAGUUUUGUCUUGGAUCUACGGACAAGCCCUUUUUUGUGCCAUGCGCGUGCGUUGAACAGUGAUGACGGCAUGGUUGUUGCCGGCUAUGUCAAUUCUUGUAAGUGCAUCUAGUGUCCCUUAGUGAUUUUGGUGUAUUGAAGACUUAUAGGUUAAGGGACUAAUGCGUUUGUGAGUGUACACAGGUCUAUAAAUCUAUGAGGAGUUUGAUAUUUACAGAGAAAGUCGACCUCUAAAAAUGAAGUUCUUCGACUGAAAACUUUGGAUUUUUGAAGACUUUGAAAGUGAAGAAAUUGGUGUGACCUUGAAGACUAGGUAUCCAUUUAAGGAACAUGAAUCGUGAAGGCUUUUUUUCGUAGUUUCUGUUUCUCUUUCUUGAGCCAUAGGAAACACCGUACUGUUAAAGGAGGUCGAGAAAAUACUAAGAAAAAAUUUCCAAGUGGUGCUCAACUCAAAAUCCUACACCUACCAAUCCCUUCGAGUGAAGCCAUUGGAAAUCUCAUACAGUUCAGUCAUAUUCUUCAGUGACAGAGACGAAGUUCUUCUGGUCUCUGAGGAUUAUAUUCUGACUCAGGACUUAGGAAUUCGCCAGUGUGGAUUGCCUACACAGUGAGGAACAUGAUAGCCCUGAGGAAUUUGAGCCUCAAACAUCCGACCGUUGCUGUGCUACACACCAGCUGUCCCAAAAUAUCUACCCACCUAACGGUCAUAUCAUUGAAGGGAAUUUAUGUCUUAUCAUGUCGGGCUGCUCCCUAGGCUAUAAAUAGCUGCCCCCUACAACCACUAGCCGGUUGGCUGCUCCGAGAGAAACUGACACUUGUCAUUUGAGAGCAUCCCAUCCUCCGAGGACUUUGAGCAAAAAUCAUCAAGUGAGAAAAACCCAAACCCAAACACCUACAAACCCAAAGUGAUUGAGCAUCACCGAAGAGAUUGAUCUUGCGUAGAUCCGACGCUUGUUACCUUUGAAGACUGUGCUUCUUCCAGACGGUUAGGCGUCAUGGUCUAGAGCAUCCAAGAGGAAUUGUGGAUCGCCGAGUGACCGAGUCUGUGAAGGUUUGGAAGUCACCUGAAGAGUUACCACGAGUGAUUGGGCGAGGUCUGUGUGACCUUAGCUCAAGAAGAAUACGGUGAGGACUGUGUGUUCGGGACUGUGUGUCCUUAGGUUUAAAUACCUAGCCGCUCCAACCAGACGUACAACUGAGAUAGCAGUUGGAACUAGUCUACCAAAUCUUUGUCUUCACCAAGCUUACUGGUUCUAUUUCCUCAACUCUUUUAUUUCCUCAUAACUGUGUUGUGCACUUGUUCAUAUCUGUGUGUGAAGACUUUGACUGAAGACCUUCUCAAUUUCCUCAGUUCAAUUUCUCUAGUUUGUUUGUCUUCAUCCUGUGUUUACGCUUUCUGUACUCUGUGCUUGUCUUCAUUUCAUCAUGAUGACCAUGCUUGUGUUUUGUUAUGUUUACUUUUGAGUACUUAUUCCGCUGCAAGUAGUUCUUCGGUAAGGAAUUUCCUCACUCGCAAAUUCCUCAGUGAAGAAUUCAUAAAAAUCGCCUAUCCACCACCCCUCUAGUCGAUAUAACACACUUUUAAUUAGUAUCAGAGCAAGGUACUCCCUUGUUCUGUGUGAUUUUGGUUUAACCGUCUGGAGUUUUAGUUAUGUCGACCACAGGAAUGAAGACUGUGUCAUGCCCCAUUGUUGACGGUCAUGAGUAUCCCAAGUGGAAGGCCAUGAUGAAAAAGCGCCUCAUGGCGAUGAACAGCGAGCUGUGGACCGUCACUGAGAUUGGUCUUAUCGAUCUGUGCAAGAUGGAGGAAGCUGAUGACAUUCGCAAGUACACUUUUCUCAACCUCACGGCGAAGGACGUCAUCUGCUCUUGUUUGUCUCAAAAUCAGUUUAGGAACAUCAUGCAUCUCGAUCAUGCAAAGCUUAUCUGGGACCGUCUCUCUGAGGUCUAUGAAGGUCAUCGAACCCGUCAUGAUCCUUGGUUUGAGGACUUCAAGGAAUCUCUCAAAGCGAUGACAUUCGAACUAGAAUCAUCAUCUACUACACCAUGCCUUAUGGCAAAAGGUGCAAAGGUAACUGAAUGCUAUCUAUCCGAAUCAAGUGAUGAUGAAUCUGGUGAUGAAUUUGGACCCAGCUAUGUAAAACUUGCUUCCCUUGCCACUAAACAACAAAGAGCUUUAGAAAAAGUUCAAUACAUGCUAAAUAAGAGCGAUGAUAUGUUGGGUGAAGAAAUGGACCAGUCGAAAGCUUUGGCUGAAAGUCUUCAGAGACUUCAGUCUAAGUUUGACAACCUUCAAGGUCAUCAUAACACUCUCUUAUCUGAUCAUGAGAAGUUUUCUUAUGAAUUUCUUCAAAGAAAGCAAGAUCUUGAAAAGCUAAGAGUGAGUUAUGAAGAUCUUCAGAAGGAGCGCGAUUCAUUACUUGCUCAACAAAUCAGCGCUUCUCAGGAAGAAUUUGUUCCUCCAUGUUUGAAGUGCAUUGAACGUGAAUUUGCUAAUUCUUCACCUGAAUGUUCAAAUGCUUCUAAUGCUACAAAUUCUUCACCUGUCUCUGCUAUCACUAAUUCAUCACCUGAAGACAUUGCUAGUAUCACUGAUGAUGUAGGGCUGAAGGAAUUGUACAUGACAGGCAUGUACAAAAGCCUCAAGGGGCAUCAGACUCUUUGUGAUGUGCUUAAAAAGCAGAUCCUCAACAGGAACCCUAGGAAAGAGGGUAUUGCCUUUGAGAGGAAACUCAAUGCUGAUGGUACUUAUUGGAAGCCUGAGCAGUACCCCAAAACCUCAUGGGUUGCUGCAAAGGGACCUCCAGUUGAUCCAUCCAAUUUAUCUGGCUUUAUAUGUGAAUCUCCUCAUUCUUCUAAUGGGUCAUUUGACUCCAACUAUAAAUUGUUCAAAAAUCAGAAUGGUGAAGUAUUUGCUAGAUGUGUUGGCACUAACUGCAGGAACGGUUCCCCUAUGAAGAAAAUCUGGGUUCCCAAAAGGUGCCUCAAAAAUCUUCAGGUGAAUGUCAUCAUGACACCACCUGUGAAGAAUAGGAAACCCAAAUCAAAAUCUUCAUAUGGACCAAAUUCUUCAUAUGGAUCCAAAUCCUCAUACGGACCAAAUUCCUCACGUGGAUCAAAUUCUUCGAAAGGAUCAAAGUCCUCAUAUGAUCAUCAUCGUGCUAACACCUUUGUUUCGCAGGAAAGAGCAAAUGGCUAUGAAUAUGAGCAUUAUUCUUCUAAUCAUUAUGUUCAUAAGUCCUUGAAGAAUUUCUCUGCUUAUUCAUAUGCUUAUCCUAACUCCUCUUAUGUGAAACAAAGUGGACUGGCUUCUAUGCCACCUUUCUCGUAUAGAGCUCCCAGAGUGAUGAACUCUUUGCCACCCCUUCAGAUGUGGGUGGUGAAUAAAAAGAACUAAUUUCUUUUGCAGGGUCAGGUCUCCAGACGUGCGUAAACGUCUGAAGAAUUUGCUGGAGACCUGAAAAUGCCUGAAAGGACGCAGGCUAAUCAUGAAGAAAUGAACUUUCAUUUCUCACGUCCUCAUAUUGCUUUAUUUGUUCUAUUACUUGACGAAAUUGAUCUGAUGAAUUGUGAUGUCAUAUUCUUCACUGAUGAAGUAUAUGAGUUCGUAAGUUGCACUAAUUCACCUGCAGGAUGAUCAACCCAAAGCCAAUGAGUGGGUCCUCGAUAGUGGAUGUACAAAUCACAUGACUGGUGACAAGAAUCUAUUGAUGGAUGCUCCCUUAUCUCCAUCGCAUCUGAAGCAUAUCAUCUUCGCUGACAAAGGCAAAAGUCAGGUAUUGGGUCUAGGUAAGGUUGCGAUCUCAAAGGAUCGACACAUGGACAAAGUCAUGCUUGUCGAGUCCUUAAGAUACAACCUCAUGUCUGUCUCAAUGCUUUGUGAUCUUGGUAUGGUUGUUGUAUUUGGCAAGUAUCGUUGUGUUGUGAUCAUGGAAGCUGACAAUUCCAAAGUCUUCGAAGGCUUUAGGAGAGGAGACUUGUAUACUAUUGAUUUCUCUACAGGACCACAACCAGCCGUAUGCCUACUUGCAAAAGCUUCAGAAGUCUGGCUAUGGCAUCGACGACUUGGUCAUGCAGGCAUGAGGAAUUUGCACACGCUUGCGAAGAAGAAGCAUGUCAUUGGCAUUGAGAAUGUCAAAUUCCUCAAAGAUCACUUAUGCGGAGCCUAUGAAGCUGGAAAGAUGACCAUGGCCAAACAUCCAGCGAAGACAAUCAUGACUACCACUCGACCAUUUGAAUUGCUUCAUAUGGAUCUCUUUGGUCCUAACCAUUAUUCUGCAGUUACAAAUGAUGCAUCUCUAUAUGGCUUUGUUAUUGUUGAUGAUUACUCUCGUUACACAUAGGUACAUAUUGUCACUUACAAACAUGAGGUGCAGGAAGUCUUCAAACGAUUUUCCUCGAGGGCUUCAACCAACUUUGGUGUGAAGAUCAAGCACAUCAGAAGUGAUAAUGGAACUGAGUUCAAGAGUUCUGGUCUUGAUGACUAUCUUGAUGAACUUGGUAUUACUCAUGAGCUAUCUACUCCUUAUACUCCUCAGCGGAAUGGCGUCGUGGAGCGCAAGAAUAGGACUCUUGUUGAGAUGGCUCACACUAUGCUUGAUGAAUACAAGACACCUCGUCGUUUCUGGAUUGAGGCAAUUGAUACUGCUUGCCACAUCAUCAACAUGGUAUAUCUUCACAAAUUCUUCAAGAAGACUGCUUAUGAACUCCUCACUGACAAGAAACCCAAUGUGAGUUAUUUCAAAGUCUUCAGUGCUAAAUGUUGGAUUAUAGAUCCUCAUCACAACUCUAAAUUUGCACCGAAAGCACAUGAGGGUUUUAUGCUUGGUUACGGAAAGGACUCGCAUACCUACAGAGUCUUCAACAACGUUCACCACAAAGUUGUUGAAACUGUAGAUGUGCGGAUCGAUGAAACUAAUGGCUCGCAAAGAGAGCACCCCUUCUGUGAUAGAUGAACCAGCACCUGAGGAAACUAUCAAGUUCAAGGCUACUGAGGAUGUCAUUCCGACCGAAGAAUCUGCUGAAGAAUUCAUUCCAGAACGAGAAGAACGUCAAGCUGAUGCACCUGAAGAAAAUGGUGCUGAAGAAAAUGCUGAUCAAAUUCCUCGACGACAACCAGCUCAUCCUCGUGUUGCAAACGAAGUGCAAAUUGAGAAAAUCAUUGAUGACAUUGAAGCACCAGGUCCUCUCACACGCUCAAGAGCUUCACAUUUGUCUAACUUUUGUGGGCACUUUGCUUUUGUCUCUACCACAGAGCCCACUAAGGUAGAUGAAGCAUUUCUGGAGCCUGAGUGGAUUCAAGCUAUGCAAGAAGAAUUACAUCAGUUCAAGCUCAAUAACGUCUGGGAACUCGUGAAACAUCCAGAUCCUCGCAAGCACAAUAUCAUUGGCACAAAGUGGAUCUACCACAACAAGUAAGAUGAAAAUGGCCUUGUGGUAAGGAAUAAGGGACGACUUGUAGCUCAAGGCUACACACAGGUUGAAGGAAUUGAUUUCGAUGAAACUUUUGCACCUGUUGCUAGACUUGAGGCUAUUCGCAUAUUACUUGCUUAUGCUAACCAUCAUGAUAUCACUUUAUAUCAAAUGGAUGUGAAAAGUGCAUUCCUCAAUGGUAAGCUUGAGGAAGAAGUAUAUGUUGCUCAACCCCCAGGUUUUGAAGAUCCAAAGCAUCCUGACAAAGUCUUCAGACUCAAUAAGGCCCUCUAUGGCCUCAAGCAGGCCCCUCGGGCGUGGUAUGAUACUUUGAAGGAAUUCCUCGUGAAGAAAGGCUUCAAACCCGGUUCACUUGAUCCUACUCUUUUCACUAAAUCUUAUGAUGGUGAAUUGUUUGUGUGCUAAAUAUAUGUUGAUGAUAUUAUCUUUGGCUGUACUGACCAACGUUACACUGACGAAUUUGGUUAUAUGAUGAGAGAGGAAUAUGAAAUGUCUAUGAUGGGAGAAUUGAAAUUCUUCUUGGGUCUUCAAAUUCGUCAACAGCGCAAUGGCAUAUUCAUAUCUCAGGAGAAAUACCUCAAGGAUGUACUGUGGAAAUUCGGCAUGCAAGAUUGCAAAGGGGUCAAAAUUCCUAUGCCCACCAAUGGCCAUCUAUGCACUGAUGAAAAUGUUAUUGACUUCAAUCAAAAGGUAUACCGCUCCAUGAUUGGUUCUUUAUUGUAUUUAUGUGCAUCUAGGCCAGAUAUUAUGCUUAGUGUUUGCAUGUGUGCCCGAUUUCAAGCUACACCGAAGGAAUCACACCAUAAGGUUGUGAAGGAUAUUCUUCGAUAUCUAGCUCACACACCAACACUUGGAUUAUGGUACCCCAAGGGCUCGACUUUUGAUCUCAUUGGAUUUUCAGACUCUGACUAUGCUGGUGAUCGUGUGGACCGCAAGUCAACAUCUGGCACAUGCCAUUUCCUCGGACGAUCUUUGGUCUGUUGGUCCUCGAAGAAACAGAACUGCGUAUCACUGUCUACUGCUAAAACUAAGUACAUUGCUGCUGGUUCUUGCUGUGCUCAAUUGCUGUGGAUGAAGCAAACUCUCAAGGACUACGGCGUCAACGUGAAGAAUGUGCCUCUCUACUGUGACAAUGAGAGUGCCAUCAAGAUUGCUCACAACCCAGUUCAGCACUCGAAGACAAAGCACAUUCAGAUUCGUCAUCAUUUUCUUCGUGAUCAUGUGUUGAAGGGCGACAUUUCUAUUGAGCAUCUGAAGACUGAAGAACAGCUAGCCGAUAUCUUCACAAAGCCCUUGGAUGAGAAGAGAUUUAGCAAGUUGCGGUGUGAGCUAAAUAUCUUAGAAUCUUCGAAUGUUCUUUGAAAAGGACACUCAUCCUAACACUUAUGCAAAAUUGAUGACUUAGAUCUGCAACAUAUGAAGUAAAGUUUUUCUUCAAUCAAUGAAGAAUAACACUCUAAGUGUGAAGAAAUUAACGAAGAAUUUGAUUCUCAGAGCCCUACGACAAUUGUACGCGGUGUCUGAAAUCAUCAUUCUUAUACGGUGGGUCACGCCACCACCAAAAGUUGAAAAAUCUUCAAUUUGAGUUUUUCCUCAGUUUUGAAAUUCCUCAGUUGUUCAAUUUUCUUCAACUUUGCAUUGUCUUCACUGGUUCCGUCGUUUUUCUUCACUGGCUAUAUAUAUAUAUAUAUAUAUAUAUAUAUAUAUAUAUAUAUAUAUAUAUAUAUAUAUAUAUAUAUGAGUUUAUGUCCUCUACAGCAUUCACUUAUUGCUAUUUCUUCAAGUUGCUUUUUCUGCUAAGUGAUUGUGAUCGGCCCUUCCCCCUCUAUGCUAAACUCAACCCAAUCUAUUCACAAAUUCUUCAUGUGCGUUCUAUUUGAAACUCGUUCAAAAUCUUCACUGUGUCCUUGUAAGCUGAAGAAUUUGCGAACGGAACUUUAAACUUAUCUUAUCUAAAUUUUCGGCUUUACCGCUCAAACCGUUCCACAUCCCACGAUAACACUUAUCUAUUCACCCACGACCUCACACGAUCGCCACCUCUCAGUACGUGGGUGACACAUGUCAAGCGGAUGAGAAGGGUCAGGGGCACGUUCGUCCAAUUUCUUCGAGCGAACAGUUUUUCACCGUGACUAUAAAUACCCCUCCCCUUCCUCACUUAUAUUUUACUCCGCUCGACCUCACUCCAGCUCGAACUUCUCAAACCCUAGCGCCGCCGCUACUUCAUCGUCGCCGGUGAGGAAGAGCUUCACUGCCUCGACCUCGUCGCCGUCGUACUCGCGCCGGCUGCGGAUUUCCUCACUCCGCCGCCGCCAUAGCUGUCUUCCUCUGCCGAGUUAGGGCGUGGAAGAUCUUAACUGACGAACUUCACUUCUACAGUUCCCAGUUCGUCGUGUUCUUCGUCAAGGGUAAUUAAAAGUUACUUUUACUGCCCUUUUUGAUUCGAAUGAUUUCUACAAAAUCUUCAAAGGUGAUUUUCUUUAAAUCCUCACACACCAAAACACCUCACAUGUCAUAUGUUCUUGACUCGUUUCUCUAAGCAAUAUUUUUCUUCAUGAUUCCUCAGUUGUGUGGAUUUUUGAUCUGUACAACUCUGGAACCUAAGACAAAGAACGCUUAGUGAAAUUCUUCAAGACUCAUCUGGUCAAAUUCCUCAAACUUGUUAUUUUUUGCAAAACCUUCUAAGAACGCAUAUGACCUCUCCAAAUUCCUCGCAACUAUACUCUCUUCACAGGUACACAUGUCCGCUGCUGAAUCACUAGGUUCUCAUCAACUUAACUCACUUGCAGCAUUCCUCGAAGAAAAGUUGCACACAUCUUCAGAAAAUUCAGUUGCUCAUAUUCCUCAGCUGAAGAAAAUGGCUGAUGGAAAGAAGCCACAGAAAGGAGGAAAGAGGCCUGAGGUCAACACAGCAUUUGAAAUCCCUGAUGACAUUUAUGCUGGGUACUGCACACCCCCGGAGGAGGAUAAAAAUCAACGCAAGGUGCGCAUUCAAAAGAUUGAGAGGAGAUGGGCAAGAGAGUGGAGGGAGUACAGAUAUGUUACUCCCAAAUACAUGAAGAAAUUCACUAUUACCCCUCCAUGCUCAAGACCUCCAUUGGCACCUGGCCACGUAGCAGAUCCCACCAGCCUCAAGCACGGUGAGGACUAUCCUGAAGAAUGGGACAAGCGCCAGGCCAAAUUGGCCAAACAGGCAAAAGAAGCAGUGAGGAAAUUUAAUGAAGACUCUGCUGCUGCUGCUGCCACUGCUGAGGCCUCUACAAGCAGGCCGAAGAAGGCCAUGGCUAAGAAGCCUGCUCAUAAGCCAAGUGCCUCACCCUCAAUGCCCUCACGGCCAAGUCCCUCAGCAAUGCCCUCACGGCCAGAUUCUUCAAAGCCCUCACGGCCAACUCCUCAAGCUGCUCCAGCUCCUCCAAAAUCCUCAGCUCCUCCGCCAAAGUCGUCAGCUGCUCUGACCAAAUCCUCUGCACCUGUGCAUCUCGCCACGUGCCAAAGGACAACAGACAUCUCUAUUGCCUCAGGAGCUUCUGCUAGUUCCUCAGCUGCACCAAAUUCUUCAACUGGCCCUUCUCUGCUGAAGACAAAGGCCACUGCUGGACGAGGCUCUCGCCCAAGUCCUCACAAGAAGCAGGUCACCUUCCAAGUGCCGUCUGAUGAAGAUGAAGCUGAUGAUGAGGAACUUGCCAAAAUCAUCAGAGACAGGCAAGUCAAGGCCGCUAGAGCCAAAGGCAGCAAUGUGCCAUUGCUUCUGGAUCCGAAGUUGAUCCUAGACUUCAUCGAUCUAUGGCACAAGGACCCCAACACACCUUUGCCGGAGAUGAACCUCACUCCUGGUCAAAGUCAUGUUUUGACUGCCUUCAUUGAAGAAGAGAAAUGGAAAUUUGAACAAGGAAGAAGAGUGAAGAAAGCGCAGUACAAGAAACAGCGCUUUCUGAAGCAAAAUGUUCUGAAGCUUUCCCCUGAAGAAUUCAUUGCCUUGCAAGCUGAGAUCAAGCAACUAAGUGAUGAAUUUGAUCGCUACUAUGCUGACUGGCUUGGAGCCAAAGUCAGGUUUGUGAAUUUGACUGAAAAGUUCACUUCCAAUAUUGCUGCCCCAACGCAACAAGAAAAUCCUCAGGCUGAAGCAUCUGCUCAGCCGACUGAAGAAAAUGCCAGCACCGCUGAUGAUAUUCAGGCUGCUAAAGAAACUCAAAGUACCAGGGCUGAUGACUGCAUUCCAGCCGCUGAAGAAAUUACCAGGGCAACCACUAGUGUUGCGCCUGAAGAAACUGAAGAAGUCAGGGCAACUGCGUCAGUUGUGCCUGAAGAAUUUGAACCAAAUUCCUCUGCUCCUCCUGCGCCUACACCAACUCCGAUCCUUCCAUCUGCAUCAGAUGUGAAGAAGACCAAGGUUGCAGAGCGUGCAGCUGUGAUGAAAAGGAAAGCAUCAACUUCAUUAGAUUCUUCAGCUCCGAAUAAGAUGAAGCCAUUAACCAGCUCUUUUGCAAAUCCAAUUGAUGCUAUUCCGGUCUCAUCCAUGCCAUCAAAGGACCUUGUUCCUUUUGAUGAAGAAUAUGUGAUUCCAAGUGAAUCUGAUGAUGACAUUCCUUCUGCUGCUUCGCCAGAGCAGUUGGAUGAAGAAAUUGAAGCGGAUGCAGUCCCUUCAACCCCACAAGUCUCAUCGCCCAUGCCUCAGUUCACUGCUGAAGAGGCCGGCGUUGAAGAAAAAGAAGAAGAUGAAUAUGUGGACAUUGGGUGUACAACACCAGUGCUGAAUGAUGACUUUUGGGGAAGUCAGCACCCCAACUCUCCUCUGUUUACACCACUUCAACAAAUUCCUCAGUCCCCUGUCAACACUGAAGUACAAAUGGGAUCUGAAGAACCUCGUGCAACUCCUUCUGUACAUGAAGAGAUUCUAGCCACUAGUGCUGAAGAAAAUGUAAAUGAAGAAUUGAAGACCCAGGCUGCCACUGAAGAAGAAGUUGAAAUUCCUCAGCCUGUGGAACCUGAGAUUGCGAUUCCUGAGGUAGUAAUGCAAUUGACUGAUACUCCUCAACCCAAGCCAAAGGAUCCAUUCUCGAAGAAGCAGAAAUUCAAGGCUGAUGACUUCUUUCUUCACUGAUUAUAAUCCUUAUGACUCUGCUCGUCUUAGAAGGAAGCGCUUCUGGACUACUAGCCAGGCCAACUUCUAUUCUUCACUGCUCUUCAACAAGGACAAAGUCUUCGACCAUGAGCAUAUUCCUCAUGGGGACAUGGAAUCACUGCCUUGCUUCUCUCUUGUCCUCAGUGUGCUUCAUGACGCAGGCCUCCUCAACUUUUGCUCUGACAUUGUAGAUUGGAAUGAAGAGCUUAUUCUUCAGUUCUACGCAACACUGCAUGUCACAGGUGACUCUGAUGAUACCAAUACUUGGGUGUUGGACUGGAUGACUGAAAACACUCAUUAUAAAGCACCGGCCUCUGAAUUGCUUCAUGCCCUGCCAAUCAGUCCUCCACAUGAAGGAGCUCGUUGCCUGUACCAAGAGCCUGAACUCACUGCCCAUUAUAUGCAAGUUCUUAUGAAGCCUCUGAAGCCUGGUCAAGCCCCCAGGACCAAAUUCCUCGUGAGGGAAUUGCUCUAUGUGCCAAGAACUGUCUAUCGCAUUCUGACGAAGACAAUGAGUCCUAUCAAGGGCCACGACUCGUCUGAUGAAGAAAUCGUUGGCAUCUGCUAUUCAACAUCAUGCAUGGCAUCCCUGUCAACUAUCAUGAUUUCUUCAUGAGGACUCUGGCCAAUGUCGCACUCUCUCCGUUUGAGUUGAAGCCUUAUGCUCCUUGGAUUAUGAGAUUCCUCGGAACAAGGUCUUCACUCAACUACAAAGCUGAUUUUCAGAAUCACCUCAGCUACUUGCCCCCAAUCGAAGUCCUCAAGCGGACAUAUUCCUCAGCUGAUGAGAAGGGACAGGCACCAGCAGUCAUUGAUGAAGGCAUUCGUCCAUUGGAUGGUCAGUUUCGCAAAGCUGCAUCUUAUUCCACCAAUGAUGACUCUGCCACUCAUGAUUCUGCUGCUAAUUCAUCCAAGCCAAAUCCUCAAGCCACAGCUCCAAGAGUGAUGACUGACCGUGAGCUGCUUCUUAGUCUUCACCAGAAGGUGGAUCGAAACCACAAAUGGGUUAAGCGUCAGUUUGGCUCUAUUGUUCACAACAUGACUGCUACACAUAAUGCAGUGAAGAAAAACCAUUAGUACCUCCAUGAAGUCUUCGGUCGCACCUGGGCUAUCUUAUCUCAUCUGUAUGGUGAAGAAGAUCUGAAGCAAAUGGGUCUCAAGGAGGACUUUGACUGGUCUGCUCCUCCACCGAAGAAAUUCAAGAAGGUCAAGGUUCCUUCCUUGGUGGCCAACUCAUAUUCUUCAUCACGCGACACCGACGAGCAUGAAGACUUGGACGACACCGCGGCAGGCCCUACAACAACAAACGACCCCAACAACGCUGGCGCUCCUCCAUCAACAUGAUAUUCUUCAGGGGCGUUUAGUCCUCAUUUUUCGAUCCUUUUGGUCAUACGAUGACAAAGGGGGAGAAAUUUGAGUUAGUCUUCAAGCAGGUCUAUCUUAUAUGGGCGUUUUUUUUGUGAAGUUACAACUCUCAUUCUUCUGAUGAUUUUGUUGGAUCGAGUUGUAAACUUAAACUCUAUGGUGGCCUGAUACUUUUGCUGUGUUUUUCUGCAUGCUUAUUCCUCCUUAAUGUUAAUGCACACAUGCUGAAUUACAUCAAUCACCAUAUUUCAUCAUGCAUUUCAAAUUCUUCAUACUAUAUGUCAAAUGCGUGUAUAAAUUACAAGAUAUAGGGGGAGAUCUCCAUGAUUUUACUCAUCAAGUGUGCAUUGCUUCAAAAGCAAAUUCCUCACUAUGCACAUCUUCAGGGGGGAGUUCUUCUAUAUCUUGCAAUCAAAUUCCUCAAUCUCAGUAUUUACACUUCAUAUGUUUAUCCCCGUUGAAAAUUAACCUAUAUUGUCAUCAAUCACCAAAAAGGGGGAGAUUGUAAGUGCAUCUAGUGCCCCUUACUGAUUUUGGUGUAUUGAAGACGUACAUGUUAAGGGACUAAUGCGUUUGUGAGUGUACACAGGUCUAUAAGUCUAUGAGGAGUUUGAUAUUUACAGAGAAAGUCGACCCCUAAAAAUGAAGUUCUUCGACUGAAGACUUUGGAUUUCUGAAGACUUUCUGAAGACUUCGAAAGUGAAGAAAUUGGUGUGACCUUGAAGACUAGGUAUCCAUUCGAGGAACAUGAAGCGUGAAGACUUUUGUUUUCGUAGUUUCUUUUUCUCUUUCUUGAGUCAUAGGAAACACCGUACCGUUAAAGGGGGUCGAGGAAAUACUAAGGAAAAAUUUCCAAGUGAUGCUCAACUCAAAAUCCUACACCUACCAAUCCCGUCGAGUGAAGCCAUUGGAAAUCCCAUACAGUUCAGUCAUAUUCUUCAGUGACAGAGACGAAGUUCUUCUGGUCUCUGAGGAAUUUAUUCUGACUGAGGAGUUAGGAAUUCGCCAGUGCGGAUUGCCUACACAGUGAGGAACAUGAUAGCCCUGAGGAAUUUGAGCCUCAAAUAUCCGACUGUUGCUGUGCUACGCGCCAGCUGUCCCAAAAUAUCUACCCACCUAACGGUCAUAUCAUUGAAGGGCAUUUAUGUCUUAUCAUGUCGGGCUGCUCCCUAGGCUAUAAAUAGUCGCCCCUACAACCACUAGUUGGUUGGCUGCUCUGAGAGAAACUGACACUUGUCAUUUGAGAGCAUCCCAUCCUCCGAGGACUUUGAGCGAAAAUCAUCAAGUGAGGAAAACCCAAACCCAAACACCUACAAACCCAAAGUGAUUGAGCAUCACCGAAGAGAUUGAUCUUGCGUAGAUCCGACGCUUGUUACCUUUGAAGACUGUGCUUCUUCCAGACGGUUAGGCGUCAUGGUCUAGAGCAUCCAAGAGGAAUUGUGGAUCGCCGAGUGACCGAGUCUGUGAAGGUUUGGAAGUCACCUGAAGACUUACCACGAGUGAUUGGGCGAGGUCUGUGUGACCUUAGCUCAAGGAGAAUACAGUGAGGACUGUGCGUCCGGGACUGUGUGUCCUCAGGUUUAAAUACCUAGCCGCUCCAACCAGACAUACAACUGAGACAGUAGUUGGAACUGGUCUACCAAAUCAUUGUCUUCACCAAGCUUACUGGUUCUAUUUCCUCAACUCUUUCAUUUCCUCAUAACUGUGUUGUGGACUUGUUCAUAUCUGUGUUUGAAGACUUUGACUGAAAACUUUCUCAAUUCCCUCAGUUCAAUUUCUUCAGUCUGUUUGUCUUCAUCCUGUGUUAUCCUGUGUUUACGCUUUCUGUACUCUGUGCUUGUCUUCAUUUCAUCAUGAUGACCAUGCUUGUGUUUUGUUAUGUUUACUUUUGAGUACUUAUUCUGCUGCAAGUUGUUCUUCGCUAAGGAAUUUCCUCACCCGCAAAUUCCUCAGUGAAGAAUUCAUAAAGAUAGCCUAUUCACCUCCCCCUCUAGUUGAUAUAACGCACUUUCAAUUCUAUUUUUGUUUGUUCGCAUUAUGUUGACUUUUUUUGCAGUACUAGUUUCUGAAUUUAGUGCUCAUGGAUCAGUGACUGUUUGGCUGGCCAGGGAGGAGCUAUGUUUUUCUUCAUAGCAUUUUUCUGUUUCUCCUGUUUUUUGUUCAACUUUUGCACGACGGCAUAUUUUUUUGUUCUUUUGGUAACAUAGGCUCUUACAGGUCAAGCUACGAGCCAAGCAGUAACAAAAGCAAACAGAUUCUGCAUAUGCCCAUCAGUUUUCAAUCACCUGUGCAAGCAUUUUUUUUGUUUUGUUCAGCAUAGAUACCAACAAUUUUUUCUCUUCUUUCUUCAAGUUUUCCCAAUCAACAUUUCUAAAAAACAAUGUAAACCUUUCUGUCAAUCUUUUUCACUUCAUUUUUUUCUGAAGUUUAUACAAUAACUGAUAAAAUAGUAUCUUUUGUUACUUUUUUCCAUUCUUGCAGGUACAAGCAAAGAAAAUCAGAGUUGCAGGUCAGGAGCUUUUUCAUUUCAUCAUUUUCAUUUUGAAGCUGGACAUUUUCUCGAGGAUGCUGCUGCAUUGUCUAUCUCACUGCUGCAGUUGCAAAUCGACAUCAGUAGUUAAGUUGCUGGCGAUGAUGCCUUCACUUUUCUUCCUCUCAGCGUUCUGUUUCCCUAUAUAUAAGUUCCACAUCUUUUGUCAUUUUUCCAAUUUUAUUUUAUUCUUACCACCCUACCUCAAGUCUUGGUGUGUUGGUUGGCGUGUCGGUGUUUUCCAAUACUUGAGCCACCCCUGUUUGUGGUAAAUGUACCAGAGCUUCACCCUCAUCACCUGCUUGACCGAUGUCACUAACAUAUGAGCACGAUUCCUGCCCCUGCACACGAGUUUGCACAAAGUUUAUCUCAUUUUUUCCCUUAGCAUGUGGUUUUUUUGUUGUUUUUAAAAAUCAAUUUGAAAUGUUUUGUGCACUUGGGCAUUGAUGUUGUGAGCGCCUCUAUUUAGGUCAAUAUAACCCCGCAACAGCGCAACAUAAGAGAAGUUUGGCUUUUACAUCAUCGUCAAUAUUUCCGUCGGUUUCCAGAUGUAAUUUGCAAGGCAUAAAAAGUAAGAAGCAUUUUUUCAUCCAUUUUUUGCACCUGCAUGAAUAUAGCUUCUUGGCUUCCAAGGCACUGAUCCUGGAUAUCCUCACUCACACUGUCAUUCUCCUAUAAAUUCAGUCUCUUGUAAAUACAAUAUGAACUCAAAAACAAAUGUGUGAACAACAAGCAUCAAGCAUCAAUCAUGGAAAUUGCAGAUCAUGUCUCUUUUAUAUCUUUUUCUUUUUUUGAGUCUUCUUUCUUCAGUCUUCUUUUCUCUAUCUUCAAUCCUUCACUUUUCAGUGUUUCUUGAGUCAUCUUACUAUUCAACCACCUUUCUGUCUUCUUUAUUCAACCCUCUUUUCUCUCUAUCUCUAGUUCUUCAGUUUUCCAUGUCUUUAGAAUAUUUGUUUCAGUGUUUCUGUAGUCCAGUCUUCAGUUUUCAAUACCUUUAUAUAAUUUUGUUUCAGUCAUUAGUGUUUCUUUUAUUCUUUUAGUUUUCAUUACCUAUUAAUCAGACCUCAGCUCAUUCUCUUUAAUCAGUACUCAUGCUAGUAUUUCCUUAGUCUGUGUUGUUCAGUCACACUAAAUUUUGUCAAUUUUGUAUAAUUAAUAAUUCAGUUAUCACUUAUCAGUUUCUUUUUUGUUUUUGUCAAUUGUGAUCCUUCCUCACCUAAGUCCUUCAGUUUGUUUCUUAGUCCAUGAGCUUGCAUCAUUGUUCAAUCUAUCAGUCUAUAAGUCCCUAGUGCGUGCUCACUCUGUCAUUUUCCAGUAAGUCCCUGCUCAUUUUCUAGCUUUAUUCUGUACCUGUAGGGGUUUGUGUCAUUCUUCAGUUUUGCGUGUUACCACUUACCACGGACUGUUGAGCAAACACACACUUGCUCUGUUUCACAUGUAACUGAUUUUCUGUCAGGAUCUCAAACACAGACCUCAAAUGCUGAAUAUGAUCCUCCAGAGACAUGCUAAACACUAAGAUAUCAUCCAUGAACACCAACACAUACUUUCUGUUAGGCCCUGCCAUAAACACAUUCAUAUUGCAUUGAAAUGUACCUGGAGCAGUAGCCAGUCCAAAAGGUACCACCCUGAAUUGGAACUGGCCAUGGUGUGUUUUAAAUGUUGUCUUGUAUUCAUCUUCUUCCUUUAUUCGAAUUUGAUGAUACCCCGCUUUUAAAUCCAGCUUGGAAAACCACUUAGCACCUCCUAAUUCAUCCAGCAACUCAUCAAUUACUGGUUGUGGAAAUUUGCUUUUAAUGGUGAUAGCAUUCAAUCUCCUAUAAUCCACACAGAACCUCCAAGUGCCAUCUUUCUUCUUGACCAAGAGGACAGGAGAAGCAAAAGGACUAAUGCUAGGUGUAAUGAGACCAGCUUUCAGCAUCUCAGAUACUUGUCUUUCUAUUUGAUCCUUCUGUAGUGGAGAGUACCUAUAAGGUCUGCAGUCAACUGGAACAGCCCCAGGGAUCAGGUGAAUAACAUGAUCUAAUGGUCUGUGAGGAGGUAAGGUUUGAGGAUCUUUGAACGUAGUGGUACGUUGAUCUAACAACUCUUGCACAGUAGGAGGAUUGGAGUUUCAGGUGCCAUUACAAUACGGUUCAGUACAGCAGUAGCCCAGACCUCAUUACCUUUUUCCCAUUUCAACAGUUGUUCAGCUGUCACUUCCUCAAUUACUGUUGGUGUUACAGGUAGCACGCCCUGUAGCUUCACUUCUUGCCCUGAAUACUUGAACUGAAUCCACUUUUCUGCCCAAUGACACUGCAUAACUCCCCAUUGUUCCAGCCAGUCCAUGCCUAGAAUAAUGUCAUGCCCUCCCAGAGGAAGCACAUGCAUAACAAUGGUAAAAUUGUGUCCCUGAAUCCACCAGGUUAACUGAGAAACUAGUUCAGUGCAUUGGACCAAUUCCCCAUUUAUAACUCUCACUUUCAUAGGUUGGGACAACUUGUCAGCAGUAACAGAGAUUCUGCUCAGCAGUGCCUGGUCCACAAAGGUGUGGGUGCUCCCUGAAUCCACCAAAAUGAGCACCACUUGGUUCCCUACUAAAGCCCUCGGUUGUAUGGUCUCUGGAUGAGCAGCUCCUGACAGUGUAGUAACUGAAAUAGUAGCACAGUCUGCUGUAGAUUGUUCUACCAGAGCAUCAGAUAUUAUCUCAUUCUGCACCGCAGCUUCGGCUACUUUUAACUGAGCUCCAGCAGCAGGCAACUGGCUACACACAUGUCCAGGUGUAAACUUCUCCACACACUUGUAACACAGACCGUUGGCAUGAUGGUACUCUUUCAGCUGUUUUGCUUUCCAUAAAUCACGAGUGGCCAACACUGGGCGAGGUUCAGAUUUGCUAAAAGGAGUUUUCUGAUAGUUUGCUCUGACUGAUUUUUGCUGCAACAACAGUCCUUGUACAGAGGCAUACAUCGCUGCAGAUUGAACACAUGUUGGUAUCUGUAACUCCACAGCAGCUCGUAGUUCUGCCUUGAGACCCAUAAUGAAACGAGUGACUAAGAAAGUGUCACUGAUUGCUGGUUCAUACAGCCUGACAGUAUAUACCAGCUGCAGAAACCGCUGUUUAUACUCCACUGAUUCCGUCUGACGCCUGAUACCAAUGAGCCGCAUUAUCUGUCAGGUACAGAGAGGCUGAAGUGACCUUGAAACUGUCAGGUAUAUUGUACAACCUGAAGAACGUCUCACACUUAUCCAACCAGAUCCUGACAUCAUUUCCAUCAAACCGAGGGAAAUCCAUUUUUGGCAUCCACUGGCGCUUGCCUGAAUUAUCCUCCUGAACUGGUUGCACAAUCUGUGGCAGAACAAGGAUAUUGGGCGGUACCUGUACUAGACGAGGCAACACGGGGGCAGUGAACAUCGGCCCUCCUCCAAGUAUGUCGUCUGACACCUCGGACACUGUCGGCGAUGAGAUCUCUGGCCCCUCAGGUGGCUUCCCUUUCUGCGCCGCAUGGAACUGGCUCUGUUGGACUUGACCCAAUGUGUCACAGGACAAAUCAAUCUUCACCUGAACUUGGUCGAGGCGCGCAGACUGCUCCGUCAGCUUAGCGUCGAGUGCCUCUAGCUGCUCGCAGAUCCCGUCGACCACCUUGAGCUUGCGUUGUGCCGCCCGUAUCUCGGCGAACUCCUUCAGCAUCCUCUCUUGGAAUGCCUCCAUCUCGUCCGCGAUGAAGCGCGUCUGCUGAUUCGGCUUGAAUGUCGUUGUUGUUACUGAUUUCCCCCGAAUCAACCCACCUCAGGUCAGGAAUUACGCAUAUCGAGCCCUCUGGCGUAUUAGACAUAUCACAUUAUGUACAAGGGCCACUGGCCAGAGUAGUAUUCUGAACUUAUCUGUAAGGAGGUUAGACUAGUUAGAUCUCUCUCUCUCUCUCUUAUCUCCACGCCUUGUAAUCUUCCGGUUGUUAGACCAGGGCUCUACCAUGACUUGUACAUCACACAAACUAUCCAUAUAUACAUGCGGGUCUCCAUGUUGAGGAGAUUGAGACGCUUCCACAAUUCUUACAUGGUAUCAGAGCAGGCCUUUUCCUUAGCAUCUAGCUCAUCUUCCUCCAUCCGAUUCAAUCUCCAAACCACCAUGCCCUAGCCAUGUCCACCUCCUCGCAGCCAUCUCUUCUGGCCUCAACUACAACAUCUCAGAACCUCUUACCUGGACGAACUACGUUCUCUGGCGAGCCCAAGCACGAUCCCAGAUACUGGGCACUGGCUUGUUCGGCUACAUCGAUCAAACCAUUGAGGAGCCUCCCAAAACAAUCUCUACCAAAGACAAAGAUGGCAAGGAUCAGGUAAUUCCCAAUCCUGCCUACAACCCCUGGUUAGUCCAAGAUCAAGAAAUCGUAGCGUAUCUUCUCCGCAAUAUGUCCAAGGAGGUGCUGGUUCAAGUUGCCUCGCUUGAGUGAUCACAUGUGAUCUGGACUGCGUUGGCAAACAUGUUCUCUGCAGUUUCGUUGUCUCGAGUGAACAACAUCAGAUCAGCCCUCACAAAUGCCCAGAGGGGUCCCAGUCGGCCUCCGCCUACUUCGGGCAGAUGCGCGCCCUCUCCGACGAGCUCGCGGCGGCGGGCAAACUGCUCGGGGAGGGAGAGCUGAUCUCCUUCAUCGUCGCCGGGCUUGAUAUGGAGUAUCAACCAAUCAUCUCUGCACUCGACGUCCGCACUGAGCCCAUCACCAUCGACGCACUCUUCUCGCUGGUGGCCAACUUCGAUCAACACGUCGAGAUGUUCCAUGGGAACAGCGUUGGUGGCUUCAAGUCAUUAGCGAACGCUGCCUCCAGAGGUCGCUCCGGUGGCGGCAGAGGUGGCUACCGCAACCAGAACCAGAAGAACGGCGGUCGCGGCGGCUAUCCUGGUGGCGGCGGCCCAAAUCCUAACGGCGGCGACUACCCUGGCGGUGGCCGAGUUGGCUACGGCGCUGGUGGCGGUGGCUACCCUGGUGCUGGCAGCGACGGCUACAACAACGGUGGUGGCUCUGGUGGCUACUACCAGAACAGCGGCGGAGGGUACCAUGGUGGUGGUGGUGGUGGCCACUACUAUCACCAGAACACGUCGGGCGGCAGCAAUAGCUCUCGGCGCCCCCCCCCCCCCGGCAACAACAACAGGGGGCGCAACAACAACUUCCAGGGGUAUGAUGGAUAUGAAGGUAGAUGUCAGAUUUGUAAAAAACGAACCAUCUUGCCAAGGACUGUGAUUGGCGUUAUGCCGAAGAUAACUCUCCCAAAAAAGAAAGUUGCAGCUGCAGCUGACAUGUCCUAUGGUGUCGACACCAAUUGGUAUAUGGAGACGGGAGCCACAAAUCACAUCACUGGUGAGUUGGAGAACCUAACGAUGCAUGACAAAUACCGUGGCCAUGAUCAAGUCUACACCGCAGCAAAUGGUGCAGGUAUGGAGAUAAGUCAUGUUGGUCAUUCAGUUAUCAGAACCCCACACAAAAAUCUUGAAAUCAAUGAAAUUUUGCAUGUACCUAAUGCCUCCAAAACCUUGUUAUCUGUUCAUCGCAUUGCUCUUGAUAACAAUGUAUUCCUAGAGUUUCACCCUUUCUUCUUUUUGAUCAAGAUCAGGUCAUGAAGAGAGUUCUCCAUAGAGGUGUCUGUGUGGAAGGCCUCUAUGCAUUGCUUCCCCGGUAUUUCCAGUACAAUAAUCAAGUGUAUGGUGCCAUCAAGCUCUCUGCUGAAAGAUGGCACAAUCGUUUAGGUCAUCCUUCGGUUGCUACUGUUCAUCAAAUUCUUAGUAAAAAUAACCUCCCAGUUGUUGGUGAGAGAAAUUCAGAAACCAUUUGUGAUUCAUGUCAACGAGCAAAAAGUCAUCAAUUGCCUUAUCCUGUGUCCACUAGUGUGUCUACAAAACCUCUACAACUUAUCUUCUCUGAUGUAUGGGGUCCGCACCCAUCUCUGUUGGUAGACAUACUUAUUAUGUGAGCUUUGUUGAUGAUUUUAGCGAAUAUACUUGGAUUUAUCUUCUCAAAAAACGUUCUGACGUGUUCCAAGUAUUUCACAAUUUCAAGCUCUUGUUGAGCGCAAGUUUGAUAGCAAAAUCAUUGCCAUGCAGUCAGACUGGGGCGGUGAGUAUGAGAAACUGAAUUCUUUUUUUUCAAAAGAUAGGUACCUCUCACCACGUAUCAUGCCCACAUGCACACCAACAGAAUGGUUCCGCCGAAUGCAAACACAGACACAUUGUUGAAGUAGGCUUAUCCCUCCUAGCUGCUGCUUCCAUGCCACUUAAAUUUUGGGAUGAAGCCUUCUUGACUGCCGUCCAUCUCAUAAACAUGUGGCCUAGUCGUACUAUAUCCAAUGAAACUCCCAUUGAACGUCUUCUCCAUGUCACACCAGAUUACAGCACUCUUCGAGUCUUUGGUUGUGCUUGCUGGCCAAACCUUCGUCCUUAUAACACUCGUAAACUCAUGUUUCGCUCCCAACAAUGUGUCUUCCUUGGGUAUAGUGCGCAACACAAAGGUGUAAAAUGCCUUGAUGUCUCCACUGUCGUGUGUAUAUUUCUCGUGAUGUUGUCUUCGAUGAAACUCAAUUCCCUUUUGAAAAAGUACAUCCAAAUGCCGGUGCUCUUCUUAGGAAAGAAAUCCUACUACUUCCCUCACAUCUUUCCUGUGUUCCAUGUGUGGGUGAUGAUAACUGUGCUGACCAAAAUAUGACUAAUACCUCUCCUGUUAUUUGUGACUUUGAUGUUCCAUGCAGAACCGGCGACGAAAACGACACACAUGGCCAAAAUUUGCGUCCAAACAGUGCCUCUCAUGGCUCUGUUGUGGCUGCUGGCGACCAGGGGAGAUCCCCCUUGGGAUCGGCGCCUCUGACUGGGCCAGAUCAGACUGGAUCCGCCUUGGGAUCAGCCUCCCGCCAGGCUUGUCGGGGUCCUCCACCAUCGCCCGGCCCACGCCUAUCACCGCCUGCCACGUCACACCCGGUGACCGACCCAGGCACCGCGGGAGCCGUGCACCAAUCUGACGCGGGCAACCAGCCGACCGGGCAGUACGGUCCGGUCCCGCACGUCUACACCCGACACUGCAUGAGGGACGCAGCUCCCGUGUCCGACCGGGCAGGCGCGGGAUCUGCUCUUCGUUCNNNNNNNNNNNNNNNNNNNNNNNNNNNNNNNNNNNNNNNNNNNNNNNNNNNNNNNNNNNNNNNNNNNNNNNNNNNNNNNNNNNNNNNNNNNNNNNNNNNNNNNNNNNNNNNNNNNNNNNNNNNNNNNNNNNNNNNNNNNNNNNNNNNNNNNNNNNNNNNNNNNNNNNNNNNNNNNNNNNNNNNNNNNNNNNNNNNNNNNNNNNNNNNNNNNNNNUGGUGGCUCUAGUGGCUCGGGAUUGAAGCCCUCCCCUGUCCAGUCGAACGCAGAGGUGGCUGGAUCUUCUGUGGAUGCAUUAACGCUGCCUUAUACACGCCUUCGCGCAGGUGUUAUUCAACCAGUAAACUAUAAAACUAAAUUUGGUUUAGCUUCUCCCACUUCCAUAGGAGAACCACGCACUGUUGGUGAUGCUCUGGCUGAUCCCAAGUGGAAGACGACAAUGGAUGCAGAAUUUCAGGUGCUUCAGAAAAAUCGUACCUGGCAUCUCGUUCCUUCGCACCCAAGUAAAAAUGUGAUUGGUUGCAAAUGGGUGUUCAGAAUAAAGAGGCGGUCCGAUGGCACUAUAGAUCGCUAUAAAGCCAGACUUGUUGCAAAAGGGUUCAAGCAGAGGUAUGUACUGGAUUAUGAGGAUACUUUUAGUCCUGUUGUUAAAGCUGCUACUAUUCGCCUUGUCUUGUCAAUUGAUGUGUCCAGAGGAUGGAGUCUCCGACAGCUAGAUGUGCAGAACGCGUUUCUUCAUGGUGUUCUGGAAGAGGAAGUAUAUAUGCAGCAACGUCCUGGGUUUGAGGAUAAACAUCACCCUUCUCGUAUCUGCCGGCUUGAUAAAUCUCUUUAUGGGUUGAAACAAGCUCCAAGGGCAUGGUAUUCUCGUUUGAGCUCCAAGUUGCAAAUGCUUGGUUUUAUUCCCUCCAAGUCUGACACAUCAUUGUUCAUUUAUAAGAAGGCAAAUACUACUAUGUUUGUUCUUAUUUAUGUGGAUGACAUUAUUGUCACUAGUUCAUCUAAUGCGGCAGUAACAACUCUUUUGAAAGACUUGCACUCAGAGUUUGCUCUUAAGGAUCUAGGAGAUCUUCAUUUUUUUUCUUGGUAUUGAGGUACAGAGAAACAGUGAAGGUGGUCUACAUCUAUCUCAAGAAAAAUAUGCAACUGAUCUUUUGAGUAAGGCCGGGAUGCAGGGUUGUAAACCGUCUCCAACACCACUCUCUAGUUCUGAAAAAUUAUCCCUUGCCGAAGGUGUAUCAUUAAGUCAAGAGGAUGGCACUAAGUACAGAAGUUUGGUGGGAGCACUUCAAUAUUUGACACUCACCAGGCCUGAUAUUUGCUUUGCUGUAAACAAAGUGUGUCAAUAUCUUCAUGCACCUACUUCUGCUCAUUGGACUGCUGCUAAACGUAUUUUGAGAUAUGUGAAGAACACUCUGAGUAUUGGUCUUACUUUCAGCAAGUCCUCAUCCACUCUAGUUAGUGCAUUUUCUGAUUCUGAUUGGGCAGGGUGUUUGGAUGACAGGAGGUCCACAGGUGGUUUUGCAGUUUUCUUUGGACCUAAUUUAAUAUCAUGGUGUGCAAAGAAACAAGCAACUGUGUCACGGUCAAGCACUAAAGCAGAAUACAAAGCACUAGCAAAUGCAACAGCAGAAAUUAUUUGGGUCAAGUCUGUUCUCAAGGAGCUUGGAAUAUAUCACACACAAACUCCAUGUCUUUGGUGUGAUAAUCUUGGUGCUACAUAUCUCUCUCUGCUAAUCCUGUCUUCCAUGCCAGAACUAAACAUAUUGAGAUUGAUUAUCACUUUGUUAGAGAGAGGGUGGCCAACAAAGAGUUGGAAAUUCGGUUUGUUCCCUCCAAAGAUCAAGUUGCAGAUGGCUUCACAAAAGCUUUGCCUACAAGGUCAUUUGAAGAGUUCAAGCGUAAUCUAAAUCUUAGAAGUUAAGAUUAAGGGAGGAUAUUAGACAUAUCACAUUAUGUACAAGGGCCACCGGCCAGAGUAGUAUUCUGAACUUAUCUGUAAGGAGGUUAGACUAGUUAGAUCUCUCUCUCUCUCUCUCUCUCUCUCUUAUCUCCACGCCUUGUAAUCUUCUCGUUGUUAGACCAGGACUCUACCAUGACUUGUACAUCACACAAACUAUCAAUAUAUACAUGCGGGUCUCCAAGUUGAGGAGAUUGAGACGCUUCCACAAUUCUUAUAGGGCGAUCCGCGACCUUCGCCUCGGAUUUGCCAGGUACGAUUCGGGAAAAAAAAAUACGGGCGCACGGCGGAGCAAGGAAGAGGGCUCUGAUACCAGAUUGUCACGACCAGGCUCCGGUGGAAUCUCGCCGCCGACAAGCUGCAGCACAGAAUUUGAAUUUGGAGAGAAGGAGGAGCCGGGGUAGGAUACAGAAGCAGGAAGAGAUAAGCUAGAUAGAAUGAGAGGUUCACUCUGAAUUACAAUUUUUUCGAUCCCGUUCUCUCCCUCGCUCCCCUGCUUAUAACACGCAGAUUACAUGGGCCGCUCAACUUUGGCCCGUUGGCCCACUACUCUACCCUUGCGGUCGUCUUGGCCCGAGCCUCGUUUGAAUCUUCCGGUUGCCUCUUUACGCCUUCGCCCCGCCUUCUUUACGCUUCCCUUGACGCGAACGCGCCCUUGUCAUCACCAGUGUACUGACAAUAGGUAGGUUGGUUAGUAUUCAUUAUUCAUUCUUAAUUUAGUAUUCAUUGUUUCGAUCCUCAGACCACCACAGCCUACAAGCACUAAGAUUUACUCCCUCCGUUCCAAAAUAGAUGACUCAACUUAGUACUAAGUUGAGUCAUCUAUUUUGGAACGGAGGGAGUAGUUAUGCUUGUCUAGACGGUUUUCUUAUUUAUGAGUGUUCGGACCUUCAGUCGCUUCAGUCCAUGUUAAGUCUUCUCUAAUAAAGCUCUCAAUCCUAGUAGUUGCUUAGUUUGUCAAGAAAUCCCAGGUAGUUUAGCAAGUUUGUUCAUACAGUUUUCAGUUUAUCUGCAUUUUGUCAUUUCACUACUUUAUCCUUCAUAUUUAUUUCUUCACUUCAUUUUUUCAAGAUCAGAAACAUGCUGGAAAUGGACCGAAUGGGGCGUCAGUGGUAUCGAAUCCCACCAUGAUCAGAUACAUGCUUUUGAAGCUCAGAGAUACAACUCUCAGAGCAAGAUAAUUUCUUAUGGAUCUGCGCCAACAAGCCUACCGACACCUGUGUCGCUUCCAACGGCUCUAGCAGCCAAGGAGCGGCCUGUUUUGCGGGGGGCGGGAUUUAAGAUAGAGCUCUUAGAAGAUCAUUGUUCUCAUACGCUAUUCCAGUAAGAUCUAUGUUCCUAUCAUUGUUUUCGUAUUGAAGUUAUUAUCAGGUUUUGUAUUUGUUUUCAUCAGUCUUCAGCACAAGUAGCAUCAGCGAUCGGAGGCGAUGGUCAUAGCGAAGCACGUCCGGAGCUCCUCCACGCAGGCCACGGCGGCGAGCUCCUCCAUGCAGUGUCUUCCGUCGCCGGCUCAAGGUGGAAGUCGUAGCACCGGCGUAGGUGACUGUGACGGCGUGACGGUUCCCGUUCCAGGCUAAGCACGGCAUGCAACAACCCCGCCGCAAACAAUGCCGAUCCACGGCUGAUUCAGUCAGAAAAAAACCCGCCCCGCCUAAAACCACCACCAAGAACCUCCGCACCCGCACACGCGCGGGCCGCCGAGGCCAACCGUUCCCUGGGUGAUGCUGAUGCGUGGACGGACGGACGGCAUGGCGCGCGCGCAUGUCGCUCCCUGCGCUCCCGCGCGGCCACAGCGCCAUCCCUUUAAACUGAACGCCUCCCUCCUAUUUUAGGACUAGCGGGAGCGCGAACUUGUGGCCCCUAGCUUCCACGCACGAUCCACCCACCAUGUCCCUCCUCCGCGUCCGGCUCGCCGCCGCCGCGGUGAUCGCCGUCGCCGCGCUCGUGGCCGGCGGGGACGCCUACCAGCUCACCAAACCAGGCACCGUCAUCUCGUACGACCGCCGCUCGCUCAUGGUGGACGGACAGAGGGACCUCUUCUUCUCCGGCUCCAUCCACUAUCCACGCAGCCCUUUCCACGAGUGGCCCGACCUCAUCGCCAGGGCCAAGGAAGGCGGCCUCAACGUCAUCGAGUCCUACGUCUUCUGGAACGUCCAUGAACCCGAGAUGGGCGUGGUAACUGUCACACACUCCAUCUCAUUCAUCUCAUCGUAUACCUACGUACCUGCUCAUCGUCCAUUCCUCCUUGGAUUGGAUCCAUCCAUGGUCGAUUUCAGUACAACUUCGAGGGGAGGUACGACAUGAUCAAGUUCUUCAAGCUGAUCCAGGAGCAUGAGAUGUACGCCAUGGUCCGUAUCGGGCCCUUCGUCCAGGCGGAGUGGAACCAUGGGUUUGUUCGUCUCUUUGCUUCACAUCUCAAUCUCUAGCUGAUCUGCAUUCACGGUCUCCGUUUAAUCUGUGAUUUUCCUCUUCCAGAGGGCUGCCUUACUGGCUCCGGGAGGUCCCCGACAUCAUCUUCCGCACAGACAACGAGCCUUUCAAGGUGAUCAAUCAGACCAUCAAAGCACACAGAAUUAUUAGUUGCAGACAUACCAAACUAGAUGCAUUUCUUUUUCUUUCUCAAGGGUAAAACAAACUAGAUGCAUUUCGAGAAAGAAAAAAGCUCGACGUAAAUUUUGCUACAUACAGAAAUAAUUAAAACGGCGUCCUCACCUUGGUUUUUCUCUUUAUAUAUGCAGAAGCUCAUGCAGAAGUUUGUGACUCUCGUAGUGAACAAGCUCAAGGAAGCCAAGCUCUUCGCAUCACAAGGAGGCCCUAUCAUUCUAGCACAGGUACUGCAUGCAUAUCUUGACCCUUUUUCUUCCUGCUGAAUACUUAUAUCUAUCAUGUAUGGUUUCUCAAAUGAAAUGCACCCUGCAUUGAAAAAAAAAAGAUCGAGAAUGAGUACCAGCACAUGGAAGCGGCGUUCAAAGAAAACGGCACCAGGUACAUCGAAUGGGCAGCUAAGAUGGCCAUCAGCACCGGCACCGGGGUGCCAUGGAUCAUGUGCAAGCAGACUAAAGCUCCAGCGGACGUGGUAAUUUAUUAGUAUGAUCUGACAUGUUUAAGUUUCAUUUGCCAUGAUAUAAUUUCUUGUUUUAGAAUUUAUUAACCAUGCUUAAUCCAUAAUCAUGUUUUUUUCCUCUCUAGAUUCCUACCUGCAACGGUAGGCACUGCGGAGAUACAUGGCCAGGUCCAGUUGACAAGAACAAACCCCUGUUAUGGACCGAGAACUGGACUGCUCAGUGAGUUCAGUUAUCAGUUUCACCUUGUCCAUCAAGGAGAGACUGUCGGGUGCUGAAUUGUUUUUUUGUUGGCAUUUGCAGAUAUAGAGUAUUCGGUGAUCCGCCGUCUCAGAGAUCUGCCGAGGACAUUGCGUUUGCCGUGGCGCGGUUCUUCUCGGUGGGGGGCAGCAUGGUGAACUACUACAUGGUACCGUCCAGUAACCAACCAACCAACCUGUUGUUGACAUGGCGUUAGGAUGAAACUAGAGUAUAUUUCUGACAGAAUCACACGGUUGCCUUGCCUGUGUGGACAGUACCACGGAGGAACAAACUUUGGAAGAACGGGCGCCUCUUUCGUGAUGCCGAGAUACUACGACGAGGCGCCUCUCGACGAAUUCGGUAAAGCAGAGACAGACGAAUCCUCUCAAACUCUGAAUAUGCUUAACUAUGUUGAUUUAUGGAUGAACGGUUUGGUUGGUCCAGGAAUGUUCAAAGAGCCCAAGUGGGGCCAUCUGAAGGACCUGCACCAUGCUUUGAGGUUGUGCAAGAAUGCUCUCCUCUUUGGGACCCCCUCCACGCAGCCAUUGGGCAAGCUCUACGAGGUUCUCUUCAGUUCUCUUGUUGCUAUCUUGUUAUGAUCGCCGAUUGACCUGACCGGGUUGGUAUGGUAUGGGUAUGGUAUGGUAUGCAGGCGCGGGUGUUCGAGAUCCCGGAGCAGAAGGUGUGCGUGGCGUUCCUGUCCAACCACAACACCAAGGAGGACGGGACGGUGACGUUCCGCGGGCAGAACUACUUCGUGCCCCGGCGGUCUGUCAGCAUCCUGGGCGACUGCAAGACGGUGGUGUUCAGCACGCAAUACGUGAACGCGCAGCACAACCAGCGCACCUUCCACUUCACGGACCAGACGGUGCAGAACAAUGUGUGGGAGAUGUACACGGAGGGGGACAAGGUGCCCACCUACAAGUUCAGCACCGACCGGAGCGAGAAGCCCCUCGAGGCCUACAACAUGACCAAGGACAAGACCGACUACCUCUGGUACACCACCAGGUACGUACAUCUCUCCUCUACGUAUUAUAUACUGUAGUAUCUUGCGAAUGCGAAUGCGAAUGGCAAUGCCAAUGUUUGUACGGUGGGUGGCAGCUUCCUGCUGGACCCGGAGGACCUGCCGUCCAGGCUAGACAUCAAGCCGGUGCUGGAGGCGAGCAGCCAUGGGCACGCCAUGGUGGCGUUCGUCAACAAGAAGUUAGUCGGCUGCGGCCAUGGCACAAAGAUGAACAAGGCCUUCAGCCUGGAGAAGCCCAUCGAGGUCAAGGUCGGCAUCAACCACAUCUCCAUCCUGUCCAGCACGCUGGGGUUGCAGGACAGCGGGUCCUACCUGGAGCGCCGGCAGGCCGGCGUGCACUCGGUCACCAUCCAGGGCCUCAACACGGGGACGCUGGACCUCACCAGCAACGGGUGGGGACACAUCGUGGGCCUGGAGGGCGAGCGCAAGCAGGCUUUCACGGACAAGGGCGGCGAGGUGCAGUGGCAACCCGCGGUGUUCGACAAGCCGCUCACGUGGUACCGGCGGCGCUUCGACAUGCCCACCGGGGAGGACCCCGUGGUGAUCGACAUGAACCCCAUGGGCAAGGGCAUCCUGUUCGUCAACGGCGAAGGGCUGGGGCGGUACUGGAGCUCGUACAAGCACGCGCUGGGGCGGCCGUCGCAGUACCUCUACCACGUGCCGCGCUGCUUCCUGAAGCCUACGGGGAACGUGCUGACCAUCUUCGAGGAGGAAGGCGGGCGGCCGGACGCCAUCAUGAUCCUGACGGUGAAGCGCGACAACAUCUGCAGCUUCAUCUCGGAGACCAACCCCGGGCACGUGCGGUCGUGGGAGACCAAGGACAGCCAGCUGACGAUGGUGGCGGACGACCUGAAGCCGCGGGCGGUGCUGACGUGCCCGGAGAAGAAGAUGAUCCAGCAGGUGGUGUUCGCCAGCUACGGGAACCCGCUGGGGAUCUGCGGCAACUACACGUUUGGCAACUGCCACACGCCCAAGGCCAAGGAGAUUGUGGAGAAGGCGUGCGUGGGGAAGAGGAGCUGCGUGCUGGCCGUGUCGCACGAGGUGUACGGCGGGGACCUCAACUGCCCGGGCACCACGGCCACGCUGGCCGUGCAGGCAAAGUGUUCCAAGAGGCAGAGGACCGCCGAGCAAUAAGUAACCUAAGCUCACAUAUGUACUGCUAUGUAGAUGAUCUCAUCACCUUGACCUUUUGCCUUUUUCAUGCUUGUUCUUUGGGAUGCGUGCAUACGUGUUGUACUCAGGUUGUUGAUUCCUGUGAAUUGUUCUAGGAGUAGAUGGAGCGCUGAGAUGAGAAGCAAGAUGGAUGGAAAUCAAUCGAUCCAUUUGAUUUGCUGAAUAAUUUUCUCUUCUCAAGCUGAAAAUAAUAAUCUUCUUGGUGAUUUCCUUCCCCUGAUGCCCGGGGAAACAAAAAAAUAUUGGGGCGUUGCGAGAAUCGAACUCGCGACCUCUCGCACCCAAAGCGAGAAUCAUACCACUAGACCAAACGCCCUGAUUGAAUUUGAGUGUCAUUAGGACUAUAUAUUUCGUUCUUUCUCGAUGAACGGACGAGGAGACAAGAGAUGAAGGCGAAUUCUUUGGCUCCAUUCUCCCAAACUUUAACCCUCAUUCGUUUGAAGCCUGGUGCCACAACAAGGCAAUACUAAGCGAAGAGCCAUUUUGUUUUGCAGAUAGAUGGAAGCAAAAUCCUAUUUUGUUAGAAGCAAAUUUGGUUACCAAUAUAAUCGUUACAACUAAAACUAACCAGUUGGCAUGAAAACAUUAUCGAUGCAUAUCAGUUCAUCAGUCCAACUAAAAAAAUAUCAGUUUGUUAGAAUGAAAACUUUGGGCACAAGUUAUAAAAGAAGUCAUGUCUGGAAAGCAAAUUCUCAAGUUGGUGGAAAUAAGUUCAAGUAUUGUAAACAAAACAAUGGUUAUUAAACUGAACAUUUUUACCCAGAUUAACUCUCCAAGGAGAUAAAACCCUACACCUUGCUUGUGUUUUAUUACUUUGAAGUGUGUACAAAGUACAUGUAAACGACCAAGAGACUUUUGAGAUAUAUCUACGAGCCUAGCAAACCGGGGGAGGUCCUUGGGUACAUGGAUCCUAGUCCGCUUCGUACAGGGAGGUAGAUCCUUCCACGAAACCCUCGGUUUAUUGAAUAUUUCUGGGGUGAUAAGCUUUUUCUCAUGAAUGAUUGCAUAUUGAGGUGGAUUUUUUUCAUGUACGUUUUUUUUUCAAAAUGAGGCGCUUUAUUACUUAAAAGAUUAAAGCAUUACACCCGGCCUUUGCAUAACUAAGAUAAACACAGCCAAAUUUUUUCCUCUCACAUAAACGAAAAAUAAAAAGGCGAAGUACAAAGAAACAUAUGGAGUCCGUAUAACGCCUACAACGGAGNNNNNNNNNNNNNNNNNNNNNNNNNNNNNNNNNNNNNNNNNNNNNNNNNNNNNNNNNNNNNNNNNNNNNNNNNNNNNNNNNNNNNNNNNNNNNNNNNNNNNNNNNNNNNNNNNNNNNNNNNNNNNNNNNNNNNNNNNNNNNNNNNNNNNNNNNNNNNNNNNNNNNNUCGUGUACACACCUCCGUAAACAGGUCUUGAUUCUCCACGCGUGUGGAGAGGACCAUAAACUAGGAGUCCUGGUACAUCUGUAGAUAACCUGCAUAAGAGAAGUACUUUCCAUGUACAAUUAUGUCUUGAGGUGACAUAUUUACAUGUGGAGAUCAUCUAUUUAGUUGUAUAUAUGACUCCUUAUGGUUAAUUAGUGAAAAGAGACAAGGAGAAACGAAUAAAGUGAAGCAAAGAUAAAAAAAUUGAAGAUACAAAUAGAUUAGUCAACAUGAAGAUGUGGCACAACAAGCUUCUCAUUUGCAUCAUGUGGGACGUCUGGAAAGAUAGAAAUUGCUCCAUCUUGAAUGACACGAGAAUUACAUAUAUACCGUAAUUUCUCACCUAACUUUGAAGACAUCAUGUGGAGGGCUUUAGCUUUUAGACCUAGAGUUAACCAGCUACGAAGCACUGAUACGGCAAAAAUUGGUGUAUCUGCAUACCGAACGUCGCCGAUACGGCGAUACGCACGAUACGGCCGCGAUACGGGUAUCGGCCAAGUAUCCUAUUUUCUGAUCUAAAAAGAAAAGAAAAAACGUGGAUACGUCCUGUACAAUGUCUACGAUACGGGAGGGACCCGGCAAGCCCAGUAGAAGGCCCAUGGAACCCUAGCAUCUGACCUCCGUGUCGUUUCUUUGUUCGCACGAUGUAAGCCUGCACGAGCGAGCCGCCGGCGCCUGGACUCGCCUCCCCGCCGGCAGCUGCCGCAGACUGGAGUCGCUCACCGCAAACUCUGCUGCUCUCUGCUAGUUGAUCUAUCCAUUAACGUUUUUUUCCUCCAAUGAUUCUUGGCUCCCUGUUCUUGUUACAAACAGGGUCGACGAUGCUUGGCUAGCUGGUUGGUGCUUGCAGAUUGUUGCCAUGCUACUACUUCCUAAUUCCUACUGCUUGCUGAUGUUACUGCUUCGCAUAGGUGCCAACUACUGGUCGUUAAUUUGCUAUUGCUACUGCUGCUUCGCGUAGGUGCUAACUACUGGUCGUUAAUUUGCUAUUGCUACUGCUUGCUAGUUGGUACUGCUUGCUGAUGUUGCAUACACCAUCAUGAGUUGAGCAUAUGGAUGAUCAUUUAGGACUUGAAAAGAGGCAUGGAGGAAAUUAGGCAACCAAUGAGACAAUAUUUUGAUCUCAUCUCAUACAUACUACUAUGUUUUGUCUUUAUUACUUGUCAUUUUAUAAAUUAAUAUUCAUAUAUACUCGCUGUAUCGCCGUAUUACAAUUUCUAAAAAUUGCCGUAUCCCAUAUCGCCGUACUCGUAUCGCCGUAUCAGUGUCGCCGUAUCGAUGCUUCAUAGUUAACCAGAACCAUGAGUAAUUGGCAUGCAGUCUAGCCGAACCUAGCGAGGUCCAGCUUGUCCCAUUUCCCAAGCAUGUCACCAUGUACAUAUUUUCCUCCUUUCAAUAAUAAAGUUUCACUCCCAUCGGUUGCUAAAAGAAAUGGUUAAGUGAAUAGUGAACCACGAUAAUCCAGAUUUGUGAUAGGCUUUUACAGGCUCCUUCCAACUAAUCUUACUCUCCCCCCAGAUUUCAGCCGGGAUGGGCCCCAACCUCCCCCAAUCUCCAAUCUAUUAGUUACUCCGNNNNNNNNNNNNNNNNNNNNNNNNNNNNNNNNNNNNNNNNNNNNNNNNNNNNNNNNNNNNNNNNNNNNNNNNNNNNNNNNNNNNNNNNNNNNNNNNNNNNNNNNNNNNNNNNNNNNNNNNNNNNNNNNNNNNNNNNNNNNNNNNNNNNNNNNNNNNNNNNNNNNNNNNNNNNNNNNNNNNNNNNNNNNNNNNNNNNNNNNNNNNNNNNNNNNNNNNNNNNNNNNNNNNNNNNNNNNNNNNNNNNNNNNNNNNNNNNNNNNNNNNNNNNNNNNNNNNNNNNNNNNNNNNNNNNNNNNNNNNNNNNNNNNNNNNNGUAAACUAAGCCCCGUGGCUCUAGCAUUACUCAGUGAACCAAGUUUAACCGUUGUUCACCUCCUACCUACUAUCAUUAUGGGGGUGUUUUUUGUUCUUGAGAUUAGUCUUGCUUGUAUAAGUAAGAGAGAGGCCCCUACUAUCAUUAUGGGGGUGUUUUUUGUUCUUAAGAUUAGUCUUGCUUGUAUAAGUAAGAGAGAGGCCUCGAGGGCUGAUCUUGACAUUUGUUUUUGAGAAACACUACAUAGACAUGGACGCUCAAAUAUACAUACACACUCAUCUCUAUGACGUGCGCACGUGCACAUACACCUUAUUACUAUAAGCACCUUCGAGAGAUUUAGCCGACAUAUUAUUGAGAUUGACGAAGUUGACAUGAACAACUCGUAGUUGACGGACAAACCCUAUUGUUGAAAGAGCAGCCCCGGGAAGCCUAGAAUAAAUCCAGAAAAAUGCGACCAUCUGUAUCAAGUUUAGGAUUUGAACCUGUAUGGGUAGAUUCCACCACAAGGAGAGCCAUGCUCAGUUCGCAUCUAGUCUUGACAUUAAAGUCGCUACAUCAAAAGAGGCAUGGAGAAAUGUGAAAGGAGAUUAAAUUCAUAAAAAAAACUAAGGAAAGUGAGAUAGAUAGAUAGAUAAGUGGGCUAGUCCACUAUUUGACUGGUGGACCAAUGUCUACCCUCGUUGUCCUUCAAUUUACUAUCUCUUUUUUUUUGUCGAAGGGCUCUAACUACAGUUUUAGCUAACUAUAAAAUGCAACUUACACAUUUCUAGAAAAUAUAACUAGGUGAUAAGGUGGAACUUCUACUUUCCACAAUAAUUACAGUCUUAUGAAUCAAAUGACACUUCAGAAAAUUUCAGUCGCUGAAACUUAGAUGGACACAAAAGAUUACAUAGAUGAUAUUUUUGUCUAUUACCUUGUUAAACGCAUUGCUCAAAUAUGCUUGGACUUGUUCUUCAGGGUGAAAAUCUAGAUCUGACAUUUGUUGAUUGGCACCGAUGACGGUGGCACUUGAGCGUCGUUCCUUUCCAGAUGGCAUUGAUGUUUAAGAACUUCAUUGUCCUUAUGGUCUCAAGAGAUGAUUGGUGUGGAUAUGUUCAUUGCAACAGUUUUGUCGAUCAUUAUUUGAUCGGGUUUUUUCUUCGCUUAGGCAUGUGUUGGUGAUUUCGUGUUGGUUGUGUGUGUCUCAGUUAUGCACAGGUCAGAUGUGUGCUCAUUGUGUUUCUAUUCACUUGAUACUUCAUUUUGAGUUAAUAAAACCCACCAUUUAUCCAAAGAAAAAAGAUUACAUGCAUGAGUAUGCAUGAUGCGCUACCUUAUCAAAACUGAACCAAAACCGAGAUGUACAUUAAAAUACUCAAAUAUGAUAGUGUGUCUUGUUUCUAUGUUUUGGAUGCCUUUUCAACAGAUUUUUUUUCUUUUUAUAUAUAUAGUUUGGAUGUAAUAAUUUUGAUGUGAAAUUUAAUAUAGGAUCGCAAUAGCCGACAAACUUCAUUGGGAGAGGUUGGCAAUUACAAACUUUUCAGAUGACAAGUUUAGUUGUAUUGGAUUGGCAAUUUCUUCAGCAACACAUGGCAUUUUCUAGAAAGAAAGAACUUUUGCGGCAAAAAGCAGCAGGAUUAAUAUAUAGAUUGAUUUCAUGUCUUUCAAGACACAAAAGAUUGAUUUUGUGUCAAUAAUGUGAAAAAAAACUCUAUAGUUUUCUCGAUCAUUUACAAAAAACUUUUCAAACUUGAUAUCAUCUAGGGUUGGUAUCACUGACAUUUACUCAUCCCUCUCCAAGAAUCAAUUGCUUCACUACCCAUCGAACAAAUCCACACUAAUCUUCACAAAUUGGCAAAAAGAAAUAUAUCUCCUGUCCUCAAGCCCUAACAGAACAUCUGUUCUGCUGAUCUCUAACAAGAAAACGACACAUCACAGAUUCACAGCACAUGCAGAUGUAGUUGGCUUGUACCCGCAUAUUCUUCCUUUUGGGCACAAAAGAUGCAUACAUGCACCACAGCCGCACGAAAACUAGGCACUUCGAUGUUCAACAGCUUACAUACUUAACCAAUUAUCUUAUUACACACAGCAGGAGACGAUAGUCCUGAGAAAAUCACCAACCCACCAUAUAAUAACGACUAUGGUAGAACAACAAGGAUCAACCCAAGGUAGGACUACUAGCUUACGAGCUCCAAUCAUUACGAUUUACGACCUCCCUUCA